UUGAUCAAAUAUUGUUUAAUUUUGGGAAUUCAAUAUUCAUGCAAUUUCAUAUUUAAUUCUCAUAUUAUUUUGUUAUUGAAAUCUACGUUGAUUUUUUAUUGCAAAAUAAUUAUUUGUUAGUUUAAAUAAUUUAAGUCCGUAUUUGCUUGGGUUAUUCUUACAUGAGAACACUUGGGAUAAAACCCAAGGAAAUUGCAUGAUCUAGCGUUAUCUCCAUACGUUUGGGUAGCUAGGAUUGGAUCUCUCUAUUUCUUAAUGCAAUUGACAAUUGUUUUGAUGCCUAAGGCCCAAGGACGUUCCUUGGCAAUUUGUUAAUUAGUAAUUAAUUAGAGGACGUUCCCUAAUUGGUUUAAUCAUAAGGAGAGAUAAUGGUGGUGAGAAGCGUCUUCCAUCUCCAUAACUAAUCUAUUGAAUCAACCCAAAAGAACAAAGUGUCUGUGAUCAAUCCCAACAACUAAAGUGGAUCCAAUACUUCAACUAGAGCUUUCUUAUUAUUUAUUUCUCUUUUAUUUUAAUUCGCUUAUUUUAAUUACUUUUAGUAGUUUAUUAAUCAAAUCAAUCUCAAACCCCCCCAUUUUACUUUUACUGCAAUUUAUUUUUAUUCCGCUUUCAGUUUAUCUCAUUUUUUGUUUAUCUCAUUGUUUCAGUUUAUUUUAUUGUUCUUAUUGAGAAAAAUAAAUAGGUAAUCAAUUCUCUGUGGAUUCGAUCCUUCACCACUAUCUGCAGUUGUAAAUUGUUGAUAACCAAGAAGGUUAUUUUUUACCAGCUUUGACACUCGCGAGUCAGUCAAGCACAAUAGGAAAAUCAUGUCCACUAGGAUAGGAUGUAGAGUCCUGUCUUGAAUGAUGAUGUGAAAUGCCAUGAUUAUAUGCAUGCGCAUUAAUGAUAUGCUAUGUAUGUGAUGUAUAUGAUGCGGGUUCAUGUGUUUGCACAUGAACCAUUUGAUGCUAAUGUUUAUGUGAUGUGUGCUGUUUUUCAGUAAACAAGAUGAGAGGAACUCGUCGAUCUGCACGAUUGACUGGAGUACCCCCGGAGGAUGAGGGCAUGAGUGCAUGAGUGCCCGUCCCCCUGCAUUUUCAAGGGCAAUGUCUAGCAGGUCUAGCAGGGAAAGAGCAGUGAGAGACCCUAGAAGGUCUUUGGAUAUGAAUAGAAGCAGAUCAGUAAGGGGAACAGUGCAAGGAGGAAUGUCAGAGGAUGUGGGGGAUGAUAUGGAUGUGGAUCAAAGGAGGGAUGGCAGUCUUGGAGUGAGUAUGUUGGAGGAGGGUAUGGGAGAGUCCCAAGGAGGCACUCAGGCCUCGGGAUUUGUUCAGCCACCCCAGUACCCACCCUUUUCUCAGAAUCAUGGGUAUUCGAUGGGAGGUACAUCGGAUUACCCCAGCUUUAGCCCUUACCACUCACACAUGCCAUACCCACCUUUCUACCCACCAUACCCACAGUACCCUAUGUACCCACCCCCGUCCUUCUACCCAGGUACAGCAAACCCUACCCCAGGGGAUGCUGCACCUCCUCCACCACCAGCAGCACCUACUGUCCCAGAAACCCAAAUGCCUAAACCUAGCUCAUCUGGAGGGAGCAAGGUCAAGAUGACCGACUACAUGAAGUUGGGUGCUCCCCAGUAUGAAACCGGUGAUGACCCGUUUGUGUAUCUUGAGAGGGUCAGAACGAUUACAGAUGAGAUAGGAGCUUAUGACAGUAGAGCCAUUCAGAUGGCCGGGUUCACAUUAAAAUGCAAGAAGGCCCGAGAGUGGUUCAAGAACUAUGUGAACCCGAGAUUGGACAGCCUAUCAUGGGAGGAGUUUGCAGGAUGGGCUUUCCCUGACAGUUCAAGAGAAUUGAAGAUGAUUGAAUUUAAGCAGUUAAGGCAGUUAGAUGAGAUGAGUGUGGAUGUGUAAUACCCGGCUAGACUCCGGUAUCAGAAUUCCGACAGUCCGGUGGAAUCCCGAGUGUCGGGGACCUCUAGAAGGGUAAAAUCAUGUUUUUAUAAAAUGUUUUAAUGUAUUUUAUGUUUUUAAUCAAGAAAGAAAAUGAGUUUUUGCAUGAAAAUGAUCUUGGAGGAAGACCCAGGUUCGGCCGCCGAACCUCAAGUUCGACCGCCGAACCUCAAGUUCGGCCGCCGAACAUGCAUGCGCUUCGGGAGUGCUUUAGGCUCCCGAAAGCAUAAGUGAGGGAAGUCCAGGUUCGGCCGCCGAACCUUAUGUUCGGCCGCCGAACAUGGCAUGCAUGCGGAGGCACGUUCGGCCCCCGAAUGUGGCCUGGCCAGCCACCUAUAAAAGGGUCCCUUAGCCGAAACGGGUGAGUUUUUCUCCCCAUUUUCGGCCAAGGUGAGCUCUCCGCCGUCCCUUACCGAUCUUGAGUUUCUUCCUUCCAUUCUUCAUGAUUUUUAUGAGUUUGUAACUUUGUUUUGAAGAUUUUCGAGUAUAAAGCAAGUUUUGGAGCUUUGAAGUUCAAGGAACUCAAUCUCUCCCGUCUCCGAGUUAGGGUCGUUUUCCUCUCGAUCUUCAAGAGGUAAGGGCCGAUCUUGAGCUCACUAUAUGUUUUAAACAAGUUUUAAGUUGUUUCAUGAAGUAGGAAUGCAUGUUUAGGUUAUUUUGAGUUUAUGGGUUUAAUGUUUUUUUUUUGAACAAUGUGGAUAUGUUGAUGUGUUGUAGAUGGGGUUUAGGAUAUUUUGAAGCCCCUAGGAGCUUAUGUAUGUGUUUAAGCAUGUUUUGUUGAGCUAUAUGCAUGAUUAAAGGUUUUGGGAGGCAAAUGUGCAUGUUGGAGCUGAGUUUCUGUCACUUUGGAGAAACUCAGGUUCGGCCGCCGAACCCGCUUGUGGAAGCAGCCUUCGGCUGCCGAAGCCUGCCCCCGAAAGAGGACUUUCAUCUCUGGAGGGCAGUUUCGGCCGCCGAAAGUGCCGCCGAACAUGCAUGAGUUUCGUCUCUGUCUAGGAGUUUCGACCGCCGAAGGUGCUGCCGAACCUGCCUGACUUUCGGCUCUGGAGGGACUUUCGGCCGCCGAACCUGCCGCCGAAAGUGCCCUGUUCAGCCUUCCUUUGUAUGAUUUGCAUGAUUGUUUUGAUGUAUUUUUAGGGGUUUUUGGGGAAUGUUUUAGAGUGUUGUUCUAGUUUGUUUGGUCCCUCAUUUGAGUCCACCUGUGUAGGUUCGGACCAGAGGAACCGAGGACCCCAGCAGUGAGUCAGCUGCUUCAGUCAUUGUCAGAGCUAGUCAGAGGUGAGUAGAAUUAAACUGAAUCUUUAUUUUAUGAAAUCAAACGCCUAAAGCAUGUUCAUGCAUCAUGAUGAUAUGUAGUAGGUUGAUUGCACUAGUUCCACGAAUAUGACGCAUUGCAUAAUAUGAUGACUAUGAUGAUGUGGAUGGACCAAGGCGACCCCAAUAGUCCUAGAGCUGUUGUAAAACUCGGCUGGGCCGGGCAUACAGAUGAUGUAAGACCUGGCCGGGCCAAGCAUCCAGAGGUUGUAAGACCUGGCUGGGCCAGGCAUACUGACUCUGGAGGAAUUUUUGAUGGUCAUGUCCAUCCUUGAUGUGAAAUGUUUGUGUUGUUCAGUCAAGCAAAGAUAGUGAGUUCAGAUUCGACAACAAGGGGAUCCUCCGCUAUGGGAGUCGUUUGUGUAUACCAGAUGACAUAGGGCUAAAGGGAGACAUUAUGAGAGAGGCUCAUAAUGCAAGGUACAACGUUCACCCUGGAGCCACCAAAAUGUACCAAGAUUUGAAGAAAGUUUAUUGGUGGCCAGCUAUGAAGAGAGAAGUGGCACAGUUUGUGUCAGCCUGCGAAGUGUGUUAGAGGGUGAAGCUGGAACAUCAGAAGCCGGCUGGAAUGCUUAACCCGCUACCUAUUCCAGAGUGGAAAUGGGAGAAUAUAGCUAUGGACUUCUUAGUGGGGUUACCGGCGACAUCCAACAGAUUGGACUCCAUAUGGGUGAUUGUGGACAGACUCACCAAAUCUGCUCACUUCAUCCCUGUCAGGAGUGGCUAUUCUAUGGACAAGUUGGCGCAGGUGUAUGUUGAUGACAUCGUCAGGCUGCAUGGGGUUCCCGUUUCAAUAGUGUCCGAUAGAGGACCCCAGUUCACCUCCAGAUUUUGGCGGAGUCGGCAGAAUGCCAUAGGUACCAGGUUGGAUUUCAGUACUGCCUUCCAUCCACAGACGGACGGACAAUCAGAAAGGACCAUCCAGACAAUAGAGGAUAUGCUUAGAAUGUGUGUGCUGGAUUUUGGCGGUUCUUGGAGGCAGCAUCUACCUUUGGUGGAGUUUGCCUACAAUAACAGCCAUCAUGCUAGCAUCGGGAUGGCUCCAUAUGAAGCUUUGUAUGGGAGUAAGUGCAGAUCACCUGUUUGCUGGGAAGAGGUUGGAGAAAAGGCCUUGGUAGGGCCUGAGCUUGUAGAGAUCACCAGCAAGGUGGUACCCAUAAUCAGAGAAAGAAUCAAGACUGCUGCAAGCAGGCAGAAGAGUUAUGCAGACAUCCGCAGAAGGCAAGUAGAGUUUUAGGAGGGGGAUCUGGUAUUGCUUAAGGUGUCUCCUCUGAAAGGAGUGGUUCGCUUUGGAAAGAAAGGUAAAUUAGCCCCACGAUACAUCGGACCCUUUGAAAUCUUGCAAAAGAUUGGGAAUGUGUCGUACAAGCUGGAUUUACCUGCUUCAAUGGAAAUAAUCCAUCCGGUUUUCCAUGUUUCAAUGUUAAGAAAGUUUGUGUCAGAUCCGGGCAAGGUUCUUAGUGAGCCUGAUGUGGAGAUCCAAGAAGAUCUCACCUAUGUUGAACAGCCAGUGCGGAUUCUUGACACCCAGAUCAAGAAGCUGAGAAACAAUGAAAUCCCAAUGGUGAAAGUCCUUUUGAACCACCACAAUAUGGAAGAAUGCACGUGGGAGACACGGGAGUCCAUGCUCCAGCAAUACCCUUAUCUUUUCUAAGGUUAGUUCUUGUGUGCUUUAUGAGUAUGAUAUGUUUUAUGCUUUUUAUGUGCUAGUUGAGGAACAUUCGAGGAUGAAUGUUCUUAAGGGGGGAAAAUGUAAUACCCGGCUAGACUCUGGUAUCGGAAUACCAACCGUCCGGUGGAAUCCCGAGUGUCGGGGACCUCUAGAAGGGUAAAAUCAUGUUUUUAUAAAAUAUUUUAAUGUAUUUUAUGUUUUUAAUCAAGAAAGAAAAUGAGUUUUUGCAUGAAAAUGAUCUUGGAGGAAGACCCAGAUUCGGCCGCCGAACCUCAAGUUCGGCCGCCGAACAUGCAUGCGCUUCGAGAGUGCUUUAGGCUCUCGAAAGCAUAAGUGAGGGAAGUCCAGGUUCGACCGCCUAACAUGGCAUGCAUGCGGAGGCACGUUCGGCCGCCGAAUGUGGCCUGGCCAGCCACCUAUAAAAGGGUCCCUUAGCCGAAACGGGUGAGCUUUUCUCUCCAUUUUUGGCCAAGGUGAGCUCUCCGCCGUCCCUCACCGAUCUUGAGUUUCUUCCUUCCAUUCUUCAUGAUUUUUAUGAGUUUGCAACUUUGUUUUGAAGAUUUUCGAGUAUAAAGCAAGUUUUGGAGUUUUGAAGUUCAAGGAACUCAAUCUCUCCCAUCUCUGAGCUAGGGUCGUUUUUCUCUCGAUCUUCAAGAGGUAAGGGCCGAUCUUGAGCUCACUAUAUGUUUUAAACAAGUUUUAAGUUGUUUCAUGAAGUAGGAAUGCAUGUUUAGGUUAUUUUGAGUUUAUGGGUUUAAUGUGUGUUUUUGAACAAUGUGGAUAUGUUGAUGUGUUGUAGAUGGGAUUUAGGAUAUUUUGAAGCCUCUAGGAGCUUAUGUAUGUGUUUAAGCAUGUUUUGUUGAGCUAUAUGCAUGAUUAAAGGUUUUGGGAGGCAAAUGUGCAUGUUGGAGCUGAGUUUCUGCCACUUUGGAGAAACUCAGGUUCGACCGCCGAAGGAACUUUCGGCCGCCGAACCCGCUUGUGGAAGCAGCCUUCGGCUGCCGAAGCCUGCCCUCGAAAGAGAACUUUCGUCUCUGGAGGGCAGUUUCGGCCGCCGAAAGUGCCGCCGAACAUGCAUGAGUUUCGUCUCUGUCUGGGAGUUUCGGCCGCCGAAGGUGCCGCCGAACCUGCCUGACUUUCGGCUCUGGAGGGACUUUCGGCCGCCGAACCUGCCACCGAAAGUGCCCUGUUCAGCCUUCCUUUGUAUGAUUUGCAUGAUUAUUUUGAGGUGUUUUUAGGGGUUUUUGGGGAAUGUUUUAGAGUCUUGUUGUAGUUUGUUUGGUCCCUCAUUUGAGUCCACCUGUGUAGGUUCGGACCAGAGGAACCGAGGACCCCAGUAGUGAGUCAGCUGCUUCAGUCAUUGUCAGAGCUAGUCAGAGGUGAGUAGAAUUAAACUAAAUCUUUAUUUUAUGAAAUCAAACGCCUAAAGCAUGUUCAUGCAUCAUGAUGAUAUGUAGUAGGUUGAUUGCACUAGUUCCACGAAUAUAACGCAUUGCAUAAUAUGAUGACUAUGAUGAUGUGGAUGGACCAAGGCGACCCCAAUAGUCCUAGAGUUGUUGUAAGACCCGGCCGGGCCGGGCAUACAGAUGAUGUAAGACCUGGCCGGGCCAGGCAUACGAAGGUUGUAAGACCUGGCCGGGCCAGGCAUACUGACUCUGGAGGAAUUUUUGGUGGUCAUGUCCAUCCUUGAUGUGAAAUGUUUGUGUCGUGUUGCAUUCCAUGAUAGCAUGUAUUUUAAAUGUUUUACUAUUCUGCUCACUGGGCUCUAGUAGCUCACCCCUUUCCCUAAUCCCCCAGGGUUGCAGGUACGGGCUAGACAGAGAAGUCAAGAUGGAUGAAGUUAUGUGUAUGAAAUAGCUAGAAUGUGGACAUGAUGAAUUGUAAAAUGAUGUAAAGUUAUGAAUAGUUAUGUUAUGUAAAAAUGAUAUUGAGGAUUAGAUGUUGUGCUUGACCCUAUGUGUAUGGUGAUCCCUUUUGUAUACAAGAUCUAUGUUUCAUGACGUUUAUGUUCCACCAAGCUUGUGUAUGAUGAGAUGCCCCAUUGGAGUAUUUUUUGAGAGCUCCAAUGUGGGGUUUAUGUUUAUGUUUAUGUUUAUGUAUAUGUAUAUGUUUAUGGGCAUGCACAGGUUGAGCUUGGUAAAAGAAAAGUUCAAAUUUUUAUGUAUGUUGUUGAUCAUGUAUGGGAUUAAUCAGGUUUACAGGAUGCAUGUCAGGCUUGCUACGGGUCCCGGCGGCCUUAUGCCGAUCUGGAUCCUAGCGCCGGUAGCGGGCCGAUUUUUCGGGUCGUUACAGAAUGGUAUCAGAGCCCUAGGUUCAUAUGGUCGGACCUAGAGUGUCGGGCUCAUAGAUGUUAUAGAAGGUCAAGCACAAUAGGAAAAUCAUGUCCACUAGGAUAGGAUAAAGAGUCCUGUCUUGAAUGCUGAUGUGAAAUGCCACGAUUAUAUGCAUGUGCAUUAAUGAUAUGUUAUGAUAUGUGAUGUAUGUGAUGCGGGUUCAUAUGUUUCCACAUGAACCAUAUGAUGCUAAUGUUUAUGUGCAAUGUGUGCUAUUUUUCAGAAAACAGGAUGAGAGGAACUCGUCGAUCUGCACGAUUGACUGGAGUACCACCUGAGGAUGAGGGCACGAGCACCCGUCCUCCAGCAUUGCCUAGGGCAAUGUCUAGUAGGUCCAGCAGAGAAAGAGCAGUAAGAGACCCUAGAAGGUCUUUGGAUCUGGGUAGAAGCAGAUCAGUGAGGGGAACAGUUCAGGGAGGAAUGUCAGAGAAUAUGGAGGAUGAGAUGGAUGUAGAACAGAGGAGGUAUGGCAGCCUGGGAGUUAGCAUGUCAGAAGAAGGAAUGGGAGAGUCCCAAAGAGGUACUCAGGCCUCGGGAUUUGUUCAGCCACCUUACUACCCACCCUUCUUACAAAACCCCGGGUAUUCGAUGGGAGGCACAUCGGAUUACCAUAGCUUUAACCCUUAUCCCACACAGAUGCCAUACUCACCUUACUAUCCACCAUACCCACAGUACCCAAUGUAUCCACCUCUACCCUACUAUCCAAAUCCAGCAAACCCUACUCCAGGGGAUGCUGCACCUCCUCCUCCACCAGCAGAAACCACAGUUCCAGAAACCCCAGUACCUAAGCCUAGCUCAUCUGGUGGGAGCAAGGUCAAGAUGACUGACUACAUGAAGUUGGGUGCUCCUCAAUAUGAAAAAGGGGAUGACCCGUUUGUGUAUCUUGAAAGGGUCAAGGUGAUCACAGAUGAGAUUGGGGCGGAUGACAGUAGAGCCAUUCAAAUGGCUGGGUUCACACUAUAAUGCAAGAAGGCCCGUGAGUGGUUUAAGAAUUAUGUGAACCCGAGGGUGGAUAGUAUGUCUUGGGAAGAGUUUGCAAACGAGUUUGCAGGAUGGGCUUUCCCUGAUAGCUCAAGGGAAUUGAAGAUGAUAGAGUUUGAACAGUUGAGGCAGACUGAUGAUAUGAGUGUGGAUGAGUUCACAGACAGAUUCUUGGAGCUAUUGCCAUUUGCAGGGCAAAAUCUUGACUCAGACCAGAAGAAGUCAAGGAGGUAUAUCAUGAAACUCCACUCCAGAUAUUCCUCCUUGAUCCAGUCAGCAGAUAGGGAGAGCUUCCAUGCCAUAGUGGAUAUGGCCCGGAAAAUGGAGGCUAGUGCCAUCAUUCAGGGGAUAGUUAAGCAGUUAGUGGCACAACCUUCUGGUUCUAAGACCCCAGGCUCUUCUUCUCUGAGUGCAGCAGCUUCAGGUAGCAAAAGGUGGGGUAAUCCCACUAAGAAGCCCAAGAAGAACAAGUUCUGGAACAAGAUCAAGUCCAGUCUGGGACUAGGAAGUGGCUCAAGCUCUGGUGCGGAUAAUGCAGUUUGUGCAAGGUGUGGUAAGCCACACAAGGGAGUUUGCCGGGCUGGGACAGCAGCCUGCUUCAGAUGCGGGCAAGAGGGACACAUAGCUCGGGAGUGUCCUAGGACAGUACCUAUGGCUCAGUCCCGGCAGACAGCUUCAGGUAGUGUAGCGCAGCCAGCAGCUCCAGCCAUGACUCAGGCCAGUGGCAGAGGCAGAGGCAGAGGGAGAGGGUCAACCUCUUCUUCAGCGGGUUUCAGAGGUGAAGGUCCAUCAGCUCCAGCACGGAUCUUCACGAUGACUCAGCAGGAGGCAGAUGCAUCUAACACCGUGGUGGCAGGUAACUUAGUCAUUGGUUGUUCAGAUGUGUUUGCCUUGAUGGACCCUGGUGCAUCUCAUUCUUUUAUUGCUCCGAGAGCCGUAGAGAGGUUGGGUCUGAUGAUCUCUGGGUUAGAGUGUCCUCUCUGGGUCAGUGGACCCAAGUGUGAUCCAUUAGUGGCAGAGUCAGUCUGCCAGUGCAGUCCAGUCUUUGUUGAGGGAAGAUGCCUUUCCGCCGACCUUGUGGUUCUAGACUUGAUAGAUUUUGACGUCAUUCUAGGGAUGGACUGGUUAUCUACCCAUGGUGCUACCUUGGACUGCAGGGACAAGGUAGUCAGGUUCAGAGGUCAAGAUGGGGCAGAGGUUGUCUUCAGGGGAGACAUGAGGGGUACACCUAGAGGUCUGAUAUCAGCUCUUCAGGCUCGUAGGUUGCUUAGAAAGGGGUGUCAGGGGUAUUUGGCUCAUGUGAGAGAGCUUAGCAGUCAGGUUAGAGAGCCCGCCUCGGUGCCAGUGGUCAGAGAGUUCUUAGAUGUCUUCCCAGACGAGCUGCCAGGUUUACCACCUGCUAGGGAGAUAGAGUUCGAGAUAGAAUUGAUGCCUGGAACUAGACCGAUCUCUAUCCCUCCCUACAGGAUGGCUCCAGCUGAGUUGAAGGAAUUGAAAGAGCAGUUACAAGAGCUGGUAGAAAAGGGCUUCAUCCGACCGAGUACCUCACCUUGGGGUGCUCCAGUCUUGUUUGUGAAAAAGAAGGAUGGAUCCCUUAGACUUUGUAUCGACUACAGGCAGUUGAACAAAGUCACUACCAAGAACAGGUACCCUUUGCCAAGGAUCGAUGAUCUAUUCAACCAGCUAGCAGGAGCGGGUUGUUUCUCCAAAAUAGAUCUGAGGUCCGGGUAUCAUCAGCUGAGGAUCAGAGAAGAAGAUGUGCCAAAGACGGCUUUCAGGACCAGAUAUGGGCAUUUUGAGUUCCUUGUAAUGCCGUUCGGGUUAACCAACGCCCCUGCAACAUUCAUGGAUCUCAUGAACAGAGUGUUUAGCCAGUACCUGGAUCACUUUGUUAUUGUCUUCAUAGAUGAUAUCUUAGUGUAUUCCAGGAAUGCAGAGGAGCAUGCCCAUCAUCUGAGGUUGGUUCUGCAGACCUUGAGGGAAUAUGGCUUGUAUGCCAAGUUCUUCAAGUGUGAGUUCUGGCUGAGGAGCAUUUCAUUCUUGGGGCAUGUGGUGUCGGAAAAUGGAAUAGAGAUGGACCCCAAGAAGGUAGAAGCUGUGGUUAACUGGCCUAGACCCACUUCAGAGACAGAGAAGAUGGGUAGAACUGCUAAGUGAUUAUGAUUGCAAGAUUCAGUACCAUCCGGGUAAGGCGAAUGUUGUGGCAGACGCUCUAAGCCAGAAAUCACUAGGCAGUCUAUCACACGUCACGGCGGAGAGGAGACCAGUGGUGAAGAAGUUUUACAAACUCAUUGAUGAAGGUCUACAGUUGGAAUUGUCUGGUACAGGUGCAUUGAUUGCUCAGAUGAGAGUGGCACCCGUGUUUCUGAAGCAGGUGGCUCAGAAACAGCAUGAGGACCCAUAGUUAGUGAAGAUUGCCAGGACUGCUCAGUCAGGCAAAGAUAGUGAGUUCAGAUUCGACAACAAGGGGAUCCUCUGCUAUGGGAGUCGUUUGUGUAUACCAGAUGACAUAGGGCUAAAGGGAGACAUUAUGAGAGAGGCUCAUAAUGCAAGGUACAACGUUCACCCUGGAGCCACCAAAAUGUACCAAGAUUUGAAGAAAGUUUAUUGGUGGCCAGCUAUGAAGAGAGAAGUGGCACAGUUUGUGUCAGCCUGCGAAGUGUAUCAGAAGGUGAAGCUGGAACAUCAGAAGCCGGCUGGAAUGCUUAACCCGCUACCUAUUCCAGAGUGGAAAUGGGAGAAUAUAGCUAUGGACUUCUUAGUGGGGUUACCGGCGACAUCCAACAGAUUGGACUCCAUAUGUGUGAUUGUGGACAGACUCACCAAAUCUGCUCACUUCAUCCCUGUCAGGAGUGGCUAUUCUAUGGACAAGUUGGCGCAGGUGUAUGUUGAUGAGAUCGUCAGGCUGCAUGGGGUUCCCGUUUCAAUAGUGUCCGAUAGAGGACCCCAGUUCACCUCCAGGUUUUGGCGGAGUCUGCAGAAUGCCAUGGGUACCAGGUUGGAUUUCAGUACUGCCUUCCAUCCACAGACGGACGGACAAUCAGAAAGGACCAUCCAAACAAUAAAGGAUAUGCUUAGAAUGUGUGUGCUGGAUUUUGGCGGUUCUUGGAGGUAGCAUCUACCUUUGGUGGAGUUUGCCUACAAUAACAGCCAUCAUGCUAGCAUCGGGAUGGCUCCAUAUGAAGCUUUGUAUGGGAGGAAGUGCAGAUCACCUGUUUGCUGGGAAGAGGUUGGAGAAAAGGCCUUGGUAGGGCCUGAGCUUGUAGAGAUCACCAGCAGGGUGGUACCCAUAAUCAGAGAAAGAAUCAAGACUGCUGCAAGCAGGCAGAAGAGUUAUGCAGACAUCCGCAGAAGACAAGUAGAGUUUCAGGAGGGGGAUCUGGUAUUGCUUAAGGUGUCUCCUCUAAAAGGAGUGGUUCGCUUUGGAAAGAAAGGUAAAUUAGCCCCACGAUACAUCGGACCCUUUGAAAUCUUGCAUAAGAUUGGGAAUAUGUCGUACAAGCUGGAUUUACCUGCUUCAAUGGAAAGAAUCCAUCCGGUUUUCCAUGUUUCAAUGUUAAGAAAGUUUGUGUCAGAUCCGGGCAAGGUUCUUAGUGAGCCUGAUGUGGAGAUCCAAGAAGAUCUCACCUAUGUUGAACAGCCAGUGCAGAUUCUUGACACCCAGAUCAGGAAACUGAGAAACAAGGAAAUCCCGAUGGUGAAAGUCCUUUUGAACCACCACAAUAUGGAAGAAUGCACGUGGGAGACACGGGAGUCCAUGCUCCAGCAAUACCCUUAUCUUUUCUAAGGUUAGUUCUUGUGUGCUUUAUGAGUAUGAUAUGUUUUAUGCUUUGUAUGUGCUAGGUGAGGAACAUUCGAGGACGAAUGUUCUUAAGGGGGGAGAAUGUAAUACCCGGCUAGACUCUGGUAUCGGAAUUCCGACCGUCCGGUGGAAUCCCGAGUGUCGGGGACCUCUAGAAGGGUAAAAUCAUGUUUUUAUAAAAUGUUUUAAUGUAUUUUAUGUUUUUAAUCAAGAAAGAAAAUGAGUUUUUGCAUGAAAAUGAUCUUGGAGGAAGACCCAGAUUCCGCCGCCGAACCUCAAGUUCGGCCGCCGAACCUCAAGUUCGGCCGCCGAACCUCAAGUUCGGCCGCCGAACAUGCAUGCGCUUCGGGAGUGCUUUAGGCUCCCGAAAGCAUAAGUGAGGGAAGUCCAGGUUCGGCCGCCUAACAUGGCAUGCAUGCGGAGGCACGUUCGGCCGCCGAAUGUGGCCUGGCCAGCCACCUAUAAAAGGGUCCCUUAGCCAAAACGGGUGAGCUUUUCUCCCCAUUUUCGGCCAAGGUGAGCUCUCCGCCGUCCCUCACCGAUCUUGAGUUUCUUCCUUCCAUUCUUCAUGAUUUUUAUGAGUUUGCAACUUUGUUUUGAAGAUUUUCGAGUAUAAAGCAAGUUUUGGAGUUUUGAAGUUCAAGGAACUCAAUCUCUCCCAUCUCUGAGCUAGGGUCAUUUUCCUCUCGAUCUUCAAGAGGUAAGGGCCGAUCUUGAGCUCACUAUAUGUUUUAAACAAGUUUUAAGUUGUUUCAUGAAGUAGGAAUGCAUGUUUAGGUUAUUUUGAGUUUAUGGGUUUAAUGUGUGUUUUUGAACAAUGAGGAUAUGUUGAUGUGUUGUAGAUGGGAUUUAGGAUAUUUUGAAGCCCCUAGGAGCUUAUGUAUGUGUUUAAGCAUGUUUUGUUGAGCUAUAUGCAUGAUUAAAGGUUUUGGGAGGCAAAUGUGCAUGUUGGAGCUGAGUUUCUGCCACUUUGGAGAAACUCAGGUUCAGCCGCCGAAGGAACUUUCGGCCGCCGAACCCGCUUGUGGAAGCAGCCUUUGGCUGCCGAAGCCUGCCACCGAAAGAGGACUUUUGUCUCUGGAGGGCAGUUUCGGCCACCGAAAGUGCCGCCGAACAUGCAUGAGUUUCGUCUCUGUCUGGGAGUUUCGGCCGCCAAAGGUGCCGCCGAACCUGCCUGACUUUCGGCUCUGGAGGGACUUUCUGCCGCCGAACCUGCCGCCGAAAGUGCCCUGUUCAGCCUUCCUUUGUAUGAUUUGCAUGAUUGUUUUGAGGUGUUUUUAGGGGUUUUUGGGGAAUGUUUUAGAGUCUUGUUGUAGUUUGUUUGGUCCCUCAUUUGAGUCCACCUGUGUAGGUUCGGACCAGAGGAACCGAGGACCCCAGCAGUGAGUCAGCUGCUUCAGUCAUUGUCAGAGCUAGUCAGAGGUGAGUAGAAUUAAACUAAAUCUUUAUUUUAUGAAAUCAAACGCCUAAAGCAUGUUCAUGCAUCAUGAUGAUAUGUAGUAGGUUGAUUGCACUAGUUCCACGAAUAUGACGCAUUGCAUAAUAUGAUGACUAUGAUGAUGUGGAUGGACCAAGGCGACCCCAAUAGUCCUAGAGCUGUUGUAAGACCCGGCCGGGCCAGGCAUACAGAUGAUGUAAGACCUGGCCGGGCCAGGCAUCCAGAGGUUGUAAGACCUGGCCGGGCCAGGCAUACGAAGGUUGUAAGACCUGGCCGGGCCAGGCAUACUGACUCUGGAGGAAUUUUUGGUGGUCAUGUCCAUCCUUGAUGUGAAAUGUUUGUGUUGUGUUGCAUUCCAUGAUAGCAUGUGUUUUAAAUGUUUUACUAUUCUGCUCACUGGGCUCUAGUAGCUCACCCCUUUCCCUAAUCCCCCAGGGUUGCAGGUACGGGCUAGACAGAGAAGUCAAGAUGGAUGAAGUUAUUUGUAUGAAAUAGCUAGAAUGUGGACAUGAUGAAUUGUAAAAUGAUGUAAAGUUAUGAAUAGUUAUGUUAUGUAAAAAUGAUAUUGAGGAUUAGAGGUUGUGCUUGACCCUAUGUGUAUGGUGAUCCCUUUUGUAUACAUGAUCUAUAUUUCAUGACGUUUAUGUUCCACCAAGCUUGUGUAUGAUGAGAUGCCCCAUUGGAGUAUUUGUUGAGAGCUCCAAUGUGGGGUUUAUGUUUAUGUUUAUGUUUAUGUUUAUGUUUAUGUAUAUGUAUAUGUUUAUGGGCAUGCACAGGUUGAGCUUGGUAAAAGAAAAGUUCAAAUUUUUAUGUAUAUUGUUGAUCAUGUAUGGGAUUAAUCAGGUUUACAGGAUGCAUGUCAGGCUUGCUACAGGUCCCGGCGGCCUUAUGCCGAUCUGGAUCCUAGCGCCGGUAGCGGGCCGAUUUUUCGGGUCGUUAUAGGAUGAGUAUACAGACAGAUUCUUAAAGCUGUUGCCGUUUGCUGGGCAGAAUCUGGAUACAGAUCAGAAGAAGUCAAGGAGGUAUAUCAUGAGGCUCCAUUCCAGGUAUUCCUCCUUGAUUCAGUCAGCAGAGAGGGAGAGUUUCCAUGCCAUUGUGGAUAUGGCUCGGAGGAUGGAGGCUAGUGCAAUCAUCGAAGGGAAAGUUAAGCAGUCAGUAGCACAGCCUUCUGGUUCCAAGACCCCAGGUGGGGGAAGGUUAGACCCUUUUUCUCUGAGUGCAGCAGCUUCAGGCAGUAAAAAGUGGGGUAAGGCCAAGUCUAAGAAGAACAAGUUCUGGAGCAAGAUCAAGUCAGGUCUGGGAUUGGGAAGUGGCUCGAGCUCAGGUGCAGAUAAUGCAGUAUGUAGGAAGUGUGGGAAGCCGCACAAGGGUGUAUGUCUGGUUGGGACGACAGCCUGCUUCAGAUGUGGGCAGGAGGGACACAUGGCUCGGGAGUGUCCUAGAGCAGCUUUUAUGGCACAGUCUCAGCAGACAGCCUCUGGUAGUGUGGCUCAACCAGUAGCUCCAGCCGCGACUCAGGCCAGUGGCAGAGGCAGAGGGAGAGGGGCAGCCUCUUCUUCAGCGGGUUUCAGGGGUGAAGGUCCAUCAGCUCCAGCACGGAUCUUCACCAUGACACAGCAGGAGGCAAAUGCAUCGAACACCGUGGUGGCAGGUAAUCUCAUCAUUGGUUGCUCAGAUGUUUAUGCCUUAAUGGACCCUGGUGCAUCUCAUUCUUUCAUUGCCCCGAGGGCCGUCGAGAGGUUGGGUUUGAUGGUCUUUGGGUUAGAGUGUCCCCUAUAGGUCAGUAGACCCAAGUGUGACCCGUCAGUGGCAGAGUCAGUCUGCCAGUGUAGUCCAGUCUUUGUGGAGGGAAGAUGCCUUUCUGCCGACCUUGUGGUUCUAGAUUUGACAGAUUUUGACGUCAUUCUAGGGAUGGAUUGGCUAUCUACCCAUGGUGCUACCUUGGACUGCAGAGACAAGGUAGUCAAGUUCAGAUGUCAGGAUGGGUCAGAGGUUGCCUUCAGAGGAGACAGGGAGAGUACACCUAGAGGUUUGAUAUCAGCCCUUCAGGCUCGUAGGCUACUCAAGAGGGGUUGUCAGGGUUUUCUGGCUCAUGUGAGAGAGCUGGAUAGUCAUGUCAGAGAGCCCGCCUCAGUGCCCGUGGUCAGUGAGUUCUUAGAUGUUUUCCCAGACGAGCUGCUAGGUUUACCACUUGCUAGGGAGAUAGAGUUCGAAAUUGAGUUGAUGCCUAGAACCAGACCGAUCUCUAUCCCUCCCUACAGGAUGGCACCAGCAGAAUUGAAGGAGCUUAAGGAGCAGUUGCAAGAAUUGGUAGAUAGAGGCUUCAUCCGACCGAGUACCUCACCUUGGGGUGCUCCAGUGCUAUUUGUGAAAAAGAAGCAUGGAUCUCUCAGACUUUGUAUCAACUACAGGCAGUUGAAUAAGGUCACUACCAAGAAUAAGUACCCGUUGACAAGGAUCGACGAUCUAUUUGACCAGCUAGCCGGAGCAGGUUGUUUCUCCAAGAUAGAUCUGAGAUCGAGGUAUCAUCAGCUGAGGAUAAGAGAAGAGGAUGUGCCGAAGACGGCAUUCAGAGCCAGAUAUGGGCACUAUGAGUUCCUUGUGAUGCCGUUCGGGUUAAUCAUUGCCCCUGCAGCAUUCAUGGAUCUCAUGAACAGAGUGUUUAGCCAAUACCUGGAUCACUUUGUUAUUGUCUUCAUAGAUGAUAUCUUAGUGUAUUUCAGGAAUGCAGAGGAGCAUGCCCAUCAUUUGAGGUUAGUUCUGCAAACCCUGAGGGAACACGGCUUGUAUGCCAAGUUCUCUAAGUGUGAGUUUUGGUUGAGGAGCAUUUCAUUCUUGGGGCACGUUGUGUCAAAAAAUGGAAUCGAGGUAGACCCCAAGAAAGUGGAAGCUGUAGCUAACUGGCCUAGACCCACUAUAGUGACAGAGAUUAAGAGCUUCUUGGGUUUGGCAGGUUACUACAGGAGGUUCGUUCAGGACUUCUCUAAGGUUGCAACUCCUAUGACCAGACAGACUAAGAAGAACCAGAGGUUUGUGUGGACCGACCAGUGUGAAGAGAGCUUUGAAGAGCUAAAGAAGAGGUUGACUUCAGCACCGGUAUUAGCUCUGUCAUCUAGUAAUGAAGACUUCUCAGUGUAUUAUGAUGCGUCCCGAGUGGGACUGGGUUGUGUGCUAAUGCAGAAUGAAAGGGUGAUUGCUUAUGCUUCUAGACAGCUGAAGAAGCACGAGUUGAAUUACCCUACACAUGACCUAGAAAUGGCAGCGGUGGUUUUUGCACUCAAGAUGUGGAGGCACUACCUUUAUGGGGUAAAAUGUGAGAUCUUCACAGAUCAUAAGAGUCUGCAGUACAUCUUGAGUCAGAGGGAAUUGAAUAUGAGGCAGAGAAGAUGGGUAGAACUGCUCAGUGACUACGAUUGCAAGAUUCAGUACCAUCCGGGUAAGGCGAAUGUUGUGGCAGACGCCUUAAGCCGGAAAUCACUUGGCAGUUUGUCCCAUAUUUCAGCAGAGAGAAGACCAGUGGUGAGGCAGUUCUUCGAGCUCAUUAAUAAAGGUUUACAGUUGGAGUUGUCUGGUACAGGUGCUUUGAUUGCCCAGAUGAGAGUAGCACCCGUGUUUCUAGAGCAGGUGGCUCAGAAACAACACGAGGACCCAAAGUUAGUGAAGAUUGCCAGGACUGUUCAGUCAGGCAAAAAUGAAGAGUUCAGAUUUGACAGCAAGGGGAUCCUCCGCUAUGGGAAUAGAUUGUGUGUACCAGAUGACGUGGGACUGAAGGGAGACAUUAUGAGAGAGGCUCAUAAUGCCAGAUACAGUGUUCACCUUGGAGCCACCAAAAUGUAUCAAGAUUUGAAGAGAGUGUAUUGGUGGCCAGCUAUGAAAAGAGAAGUGGCACAGUUUGUGUCAGCCUAUGAAAUAUGUCAAAGGGUGAAGCUGGAACAUCAGAAGCCGGCUGGAAUGCUUAACCCACUACCUAUUCUAGAGUGGAAAUGGGAGAAUAUAGCUAUGGACUUCGUGGUGGGGUUACCGGCAUCGUCCAACAGACUAGACUCCAUAUGGGUGAUUGUGGACAGACUGACCAAAUCUGCUCACUUUAUCCCUGUCAAGAGUGGCUAUUCCGUGGACAAGUUAGCGCAGGUGUAUGUAAAUGAGGUUGUCAGGCUGCAUGGGGUUCCUGUUUCAAUAGUGUCUGAUAGAGGACCCCAGUUCACCUCCAGGUUUUGGCGGAGUCUGCAGAAUGCCAUGGGUAUCAGGUUGGAUUUUAGCACUGCUUAUCAUCCACAGACGGACGGACAGUCAGAGAGGACCAUCCAGACAAUUGAGGAUAUGCUCAGAAUGUGUGUGCUGGAUUUUAGCGGUUCUUAGAGGCAGCAUCUACCCUUGGUGGAGUUUGCCUACAAUAACAGCCAUCAUGCUAGCAUAGGGAUGGCUCCAUAUGAAGCUUUGUAUGGAAGGAAGUGCAGGUCGCCUGUCUAUUGGGAAGAAGUAGGAGAAAGGGCCUUGGCAGGUCCUGAGCUAGUAGAGAUCCCCAGCAGAGUGGUGCCCAUAAUCAGAGAAAGGAUCAAGACUGCUGUAAGCAGGCAAAAGAGUUAUGCAGAUAUCCGCAGAAGGCAAGUAGAGUUUCAGGAGGAGGAUUUGGUAUUGCUCAGAGUGUCUCCAAUGAAAUGGGUGAUUCGGUUUGGGAAGAAAGGUAAACUAGCUCCGCGGUACAUCGGACCCUUUGAAAUCUUGCAAAAGAUGGGAAUGUAUCGUACAAGCUGGACUUGCCUGCUUCUAUGGAAAGAAUCCAUCCGGUUUUCCAUGUUUCCAUGUUAAGAAAGUUCGUGUCAGAUCCGGGCAAGGUUCUUAGUGAACAUGAUGUGGAGAUCCAAGAAGAUCUCACCUAUGUUGAGCAGCCAGAGCGGAUCAUAGACACCCAGAUUAGAAAGUUGAGAAACAAGGAAAUCCCGAUGGUGAAAGUCCUUUGGAAUCACCACAACAUUGAGGAGUGUACCUGGGAGACACGGGAGUCCAUGCUCCAGCAAUAUCCUCAUCUCUUUUAAAGUAAGUGUUAUGUGUUUUAUGUGAAUGUUUAUGUUUUAUGCCAUGCUAUGUUUGUUUGGUGAACAUUCGGGGAUGAAUGUUCUUAAGGAGGGAAGAAUGUAAUAUCCGGCUAGACUCCGGUAUCAGAAUUCCUGCCGUCCGGUGGAAUCUCGGAUGUCGGAAACCUCUAGAAGGGUAAAACCAUGUUUUCAUGAAAUGUUUUAAUGUAUUUUAUGAUUUUAAGUAAGAAAGGAAAUGAAUUUUUGCAUGAAAAUAACCUUGGAGAAAGAUUCAGGUUCGGUCGCCAAACCUCAAGUUCGGCCGCCGAACAUGCAUGCGCUUCGGGAGUGCUUUAGGCCCCCGAAGGCAUAAGUGAGGGAAGUCCAGGUUCGACCUCCGAACAUGGCAUGCAUGCGGAGGCACGUUAGGCCCCCGAAAGUGGCCUAGCCAGCCACCUAUAAAGGGGUCCCCAUGUCCGAACGGGCGAGCUUUUCUCCCCAUUUUCGGCCAAGGUGAGUCUCCGCCUCCCUCACGCCGAUCUUGAGUUCUUUCUUCAAAUCUUUCAUGAUUUUUAUGAGUUUUCACCCUUAUUUUGAAGAGAUUUGAAUAAAAGAGCAAGUUUUGGAACUUGGAGACCCAAGGAGCAAGAUCUCCCCCAUCUCCGAGUUAGAUCGUCUCUCCUCUCGAUCUUCAAGAGGUAAGAGUAGAUCCAUACUUCUUUUUAUGUUUUAAACGAGUUUUAUGAAGUUUGAUGGGGUAGAAAUGCAUGUUUAGGUUAUUGUUGAGUUUAUGGGUUUAUGUUAAGUUUAUAAGCAAUGUGGGUUGUUUGAUGUGUUUUGGUUGGGGUUUAAGUUAGUUUGAGACCCCUAUGUGCUUGAUGGCUUGAGUUUGCAUGUUGUAGAAUAGGUAAAUGCAUGUGUGAAUGGAUUGGGAGGUUUUAUGCAUGAAAGAGGCUGAGUUCUGCCCUUGGGAAGAACUCAGGUUCGGCAGCCGAAGGCUCUUUCGGCCGCCGAACCUGCCUGUGGAGGCUAGCCUUUGGCUGCCGAACCCUGCCCCCGAAAGUGGACUUUCGGCCGCCGAAGGUGCCGCCGAACAUGCAUGAGUUUCGUCUCUGGAGGGAACCUUCGGCCGCCGAAGGUGCAUGACUUUCGGCUCUGGAGGGACUUUCGACCGCCGAACCUGCCGCCAAAAGUGCCUUGUUCAGCCUUCUUUUGCAUGAUUUAUGUGAUUGUUUUAUGGUGUUUUAGGGGGUUUUUGGGGAGUAUUUUAGAGUCAUGUUCUUGUUUGUUUGGUCCCUCAUUUGAGUCCACCUGUGUAGGUUCGGACCCGAGGAACCGAGGACCUCAGCAGUGAGUCAGCUGCUUCAGAGUCUUGUCAGAGCUAGCCUAAGGUGAGUAGAAUAACUCUUCAUGUUUCAAAGUAAAUAAAUCAGUUCUUAGCAUGAUUCACGCAUCAUGAAUGCCAUGAGAUAUAUUAGGGUGCUUGCAUUAGAAUUCACGAGUAUGUUGCAUUACAUAAUAUGAUGAUGAUGUGGAUGGGUGUUGGAUUAUCCUUUAGUCCUCGUAUGAUAUGAUGUGAUAUGGUAUGGUAUGGAAGUCUAGGUCGAGGCCCAUUCUACGCCCCUGGCAAUAUGUUAAGAGAAAGACCAGGUCGAGGCCCAUUCUACGCUCCUGGCAUUAUAGGAAUGUUAUGUUAUGUAUGUUAUGCUAAGAGAAAGACCAGGUCGAGGCCCAUUCUACGCCCCUGGCACUAUUGGGUAUGGUGAGGACUAUUGGUGACAAAACCAUCCUUGAUGUGACUUGUCUAUGAUGUGAUGCAUUCCAUUAUAGCAUAUGAUUUAAAUGUUUUAUUAUUUUGCUCACUGGACUCUAGUAGCUCACCCCACUCCCUUAACCCCAGGUUGGCAGGUACGGGUUAGACCAGGAGGUCAAGAAGAGUAAAGUCAUGGUCAUGUAAUAGCUAGUGGUGGACAUGAUAAGUAUUGAAAUGUAAUUAAUAAUAUUAAUUAGUUAUGUAAUGUAAUGAUGUUAUUGAGGAUUAUAGUUGUGCUUGACCCUAGUUGGAUGUUAAUCCCUUUGUUUACAUGAUCUUUCAACUGUAAUGGUUUAAUGAUGUUUUAAGUAAGCCAAACUCACUAUAUGUUAUGUUACCCCAUUGGAGCUUUGUUGAGGACUCCAGUAUGGGGUUGAUGAUUAUGUAUAUGAAUAGUGCAUACACAGGUUGAGUUUAGUGAUUGAAUGAAAAGAAAAGUUCAAAAUUUUUAUGCAUGUGUUGAUCAUGUAUGGGAUUAAAUAGGUUUACAGGAUGAAUGUUUGGCUUGCUAUGGGUCCCGGCGGCCUUAAGCUGAUCUGGAUCCUAGCGCCGAUAGCUGUCCAGUUUCUGGGUCGUUACACUAAUCUAUUCUCAUGAACCUCCAAUUUUAUUGAACCACCAGAGUGUUUCGUAAUAGUCCCAUCUUUUUCUACGUUUCUAUUUGCUUUACUAGCUUCUAAUUUCUUUCUCCACUCUGGUGUACUCCAAUAUACAAUAAGUUCAUUCCAUAUCUCUGCCUCCAUCCAAUCUGGUCCUAAAUUGUAUAGAUAAGCAACAUCUGUCUUCUUGUGCUUACACAACAAUUCGCUCCUAACUCUAUUAAGAAUGUCUCGCAAUCUUUCUUUACCUACCUUUUCCUAAGCAAUUCGAAUCAUACCUUCGUCACUCUCAUCCCAUGCAUAUCGACUCUACAAAUAACAAUCAGUGUUAUGUAAAUUUAAAAAACUUAAAAUGCAUAUUAUAAAUUUUAGAAUAUAAGUUGUAUUUACCCAAAAAAGUCCGAAGAGCUCGUCUUUUGUCUUUAAAGGUAUUUCUGGCCAAGUUUUCCAUGGAGCAGUAUAGCGCAUCUUAAUGUCAUUAGUGAUUGAUCUAGUAACUGUGGAAUCUAAAAAACUGCAAUAUUUUUAUAUAUAAUGAGUAGUUGUAAGUAAUAAUAUAUAUUAAAUCAAUAGCAAAAAGUUGUAUAUGACUUACACAGUUCCUUUCAAUCUAAUCAAUUGUCGAUCAGACGGGUUUGAUGGGAUAGGAUGUCCCAAAUUCGGACCUCUAGUUCUAACUGAUGAUGAUGAGAAUGCGUUUGCUUGGCCCCCUAAUGCUUGUGGAGUGUGCUCCAGUAUUUCCUCCUGCACUUGUACUGCCUCAUCUAUUUCAUUCAUAAAGAGAUGCUGGCUAUGUCCUCUACCUCUAGAUGAUACUGCUCUUCGAGACAUCUGAAAAAAUAAUUGUCCAUAAGUAACAUGUCAAAGUAGAGUUGAAAGGAAGUCAUGUAAAGCAAACCCACAAAUAAUAUUUUAAUUCAUGUCUUUAAUUAACUAAUUACUUUUAAAUAUUAUUAUUUUUUAAAAAAAGUUAAAUUAAUAGAUUAGUUUGUUAAUCCAUUCAUUAAUAUACUAAUCAAAUCAAAUUAAUUUCUGAAAUUAAUUUUUUUAUUCUUUUUCUCUAAUUCCUUAAUCACAAGAGUCUUUGCUAAAUCCAAUAUUGCUUUAUUAGACAAAAAGGAAAAGAAAUGCAGUUUAAAUGAUGACACAAUUAGAUAAAAUAAAUUAUUAUUUGAUUUAUUAGCCCACAAUUUUCAUACAAUGAAAAUGCAUGAAUCCAUCAAAUUUGUUUGAUCUCUUUUCUCAAUUAAAAUUAUAUAUAUUUUAAAUCCACGUUAACUACAACAGCAGUAAGCAUGCUGCUGUGCGAUGCUGCUUUGCAGCAGCAUGCUUGCUGCUGCUGCUGUGCUUGCAGCUGCGCACAAUUAUAUUUUUUUGAAAUAUAAUUACUAAAAUUAAAGAUAUAUUUUGAUUAAUACAAAUUUAUAAUUAAAUGAAUAAUAUUUUCACUAUAUCAUAACAUAUUCAAAAACUAAAACUCAAAAUUUCAAUAAUAUAAUAGAAAAGAAACUAAAAAUCAAAGUAGACACUUACUUGAUAGGCAGUGGCGGCAGUGGCGAGCGGCAACGCUGUGGUGGCGAGAGGAGCGUCCAGCAGUGGCGAGCGUCCAGCAGCGGCGACAGUAACGGGAUCAGCGGCGCGGCGGCGGCGGCGAUUGCGGCAAGGAGAAAGAUGUGGCAUCGAGGAGAGGAGAGGAGAGGAGAGGAAGUGGGCGGCUAAAAUCAGAAGUGAGGAUGAAAGAGAUGAUUAGGGUUUUUUUUUAUAUAUUAUUUGCAUUUUCUGACGGAUUAGCGACAGAAAAAAUUUCGUCGCUAAUAUUUUUAUAAUCCGUCGCUAAUCUGUCGGAAAUCUGUCAGAAAUACCAAAAUAAAAUAUUCAUCGCUGAUUCGUCGCUAAUUCCAUCGCUAACUUUUUUUUCCGACGAAAAUAGCUUCUGUCGUUAAAUCCGUCGCUGAUAGUCCGUUUUUUUGUAGUGAAUACAUUCAUUGUUAAUUUGAUAGCCAUGACGCGUUGUGCUCGAUACUAACCAUGGUUUAUGAGAAUCGAGAAUGCAUAGGAUAUCAUUCGAGGUAUAUAGAAAAGUUGUUUUAAUUUCCAUUGCCAAUUGACUAUAAACAUGGGAAGUUACACACAUAAGAAUCAAUUUUGGCAUAAUUAAUUAAUUAAAUUAAAUUAAAUAUAUUUAAUUAAUUAUACUAAUUAAUGAAUUUAGUUAGCAAUGCAAGUUGCAAAUUUCCAGUAUGACCUGAAUUAAAUUGCAACCAUAACGAUUUAAAAUUAAUUUAAUGGAGAUAAUGAAUUCAUGUAAUGAAUUUUAUCCAUGUAGGACAUGGAUUUUAAAUAAGAAAAAUGAAUUCAUGUAAUGAAUUCUAUCCAUGUAAGAUAUGGAUCUUAAAUAAGAAAAAAUAAAUUCAUAUGAUGAAUUUUAUCCAUGUAGGACAUGGAUAUUAAAGAAAAAGAUUAAUUCAUUUGUUGAAUUAAAAAUCAUGUAGAAAGUAGGGUUGGAAGAAGGUAAAAAUAUUUUAUUGGGUUAUAUUUGAUAUGAACUUUGAUUUAAUGUGAUAUCGGCCUUAAAUAUAUUUUGAUAAAAUUAAGAUAUUAUAUUUUAUUCUAUUAAUGGGCCUUAGACCAAAUGUUAGUCUAGCCCAUAUUCAAUUAAUAUGAUUAAUUGAUAAAAGAAUAAGUAAUUAAAUUAUGGGGCAAACUCUCAUCUCAUGUGGGCUUGAGUUAUUUAAUAGUUAAAUCUCAUAUUGGACCCAAACCAAAUAUUAAUCAAGCCAAUAAUUCAUUAAUAAUGAUUAAUGAAUUUGGUUAAUUAAAUUAAAAUUAAUUUAAUUAACUAUAAUUAGAUUAAUGAAUACUAAAUUAAUUAAUAUGAAUAAGUGAUUAAUUAAAUUAAUAGAAAUUAAUUUAAUUAAUUAUAUUAAAGAAUUAAUACAUAUAUGUGAUACAUAAAAAAUUCAUUCUAGUCUAAAAUAAUAUUAAAUAUGGUUUAGAGGUUAUUUUGGUAGAGUUUAGAGGUUAAAGAAUUAAAUCCUUAACUACAACUCCGUUCACCCCAACUCCAUAUAAAGGAGAGAGUUGAAGGGGUAUGGAUAUGAGGAAGUCUCAUUCUCUUCCUCUCAUGUUCUACUUCCUCUUCUUCUUGUUCUUAGUAAGAGAAACUUAUAUUAUCUUCAUUAUUGUAAGAGUUAAAUAUUAACUCUCCAACUCAUUCCACCUAACCUUUGAAGAAAAUCUCAGUCUCUUAUUUUCAGCUUUUAAAGGAAAUUUAGACACGAAAAAUUUUGAUCGUGAGUAAUGGAUCGUACCGAGAUCAGUUCAUGUAGACGGAUCAAAGGGUUGACAUUUGGAGCCUACGAGCUCAUUUUUAGCCUACGAGCUCAUUUUUCUUUUGAUAGUUUGUAUUUUAUGGUUUGUAUUUUUUUAAGAGCCUAAGAGCUCUUUUUUUUUUUGUUUUUCUCGCCUUGGUAUGUCAAUGAUAUCAAUGUAAAAUAUUAAUGGAGAUUAAAAGACGAAAAGUGGGAGGAGGCUCAACUCAUUGAUAGAGUUGAGUGGGAGCACAACAAGAAGACUCAAGAUUUGUUGUAACGACCCGGAAAUCGGACCGCUACCGGCGCUAGGAUCCAGAUCGGCUUAAGGCCGCCGGGACCCGUAGCAAGCCUAACAUACAUCCUAUUACCUGGUAAAAUCCCAUACAUGAUCAAACAUAAACAUAAAAACCUUAAAAAAACUUUCAUACACCAAGCUUGAUUCGUAUGCUACAUAACUGUAAACAUAAAAACCCCCAUGCUAGAGCCCUCAUCAAAUGCUCUAGCUGAGUCAACAUUACAUACAUCAAGCCUGGUUCAUAUCUCAACAAUAAAAACAUAACAUACAUCAUGUACAAAAAGGGAUUAAUCAGACCUUAAAGCCAAGCACAAUACUAAACCAUAAACAUAACUCUACUUUACAUUUCAUUACAUUAUCUUACAAUGCAUUAUAUCAAUUUACAUUACAUGUCCACGCUAUUCUAUUACAUAAACAUAACAUUAACUUCUGAGACUUCCUAAUCUACCUCUGACCUGCAAACCUGGGGGUUAGGGGAAAGGGGUGAGCUAAAAAGCCCAGUAAGCAGAAUAGAGAAAACAAUAAUAAUAAAACAUGCUUUCAUGGAAUGCGUCACAGCACAAACAUUUCACAUAAUGGAUGGACAUGAUCUCCAAAACUCCCUCUGUCUAUGCCCGGCCCUCGAAGGAGCUCCUCAGGACUUCUGUAACAUAUUAUGGUGCCCGGCCCUCGGUGGGGCUCCUCAGGACUUCAUUAUGCCCGGCCCUCGAAGGGCUCCUCAGGACUUCAUUAACAUAUCAUAUCUAGGGCUAUUGGGGUCGCCUUGGUCCAUCCACAUCAACAGCAAAUUAUGCAAUGCAACAUCUUCGUGAAAUCUAAUGCAAGCAACCUAAUACAUAUACAUGGUAUUCAUGAUGCAUGAACAUGCUUAAAACAUUUGAGUUAGUUCUACUCACCUCUGGCAGAUGCUGGACUAACGCUGCAACAGCUAACACUGCUGGCCUCCUCGGUUCCUCGGGUCCGAUCCUAUACAGGUGGACUCAAAUGAGGGACCAAAUACACUCUAAUAGGACUCUAAACAACUCCCCAAAAACCCCCUAAAACAUCAUAGAAUAACCAUAAAAAUCAUGCAAAGGAAGGCUAGACAGGGCACUUUCGGCGGCAGGUUCGGCGGCCGAAAGUCCCUCCAGAGCCGAAACUCAGACACUUUCGACGGCACCUUCGGCGGCCGAAAGUUCUUCCAGAGACUAAACUCAUGCAUGUUCGGCGGUACCUUCGGUGGCCGAAACUCCCUUUCAGAGCCGAAAGUCCAACUUUCGGGGGUAGGGUUCGGCAGCCAAAACAAGCCACCACAGGCAGGUUCGGCGGCCGAAAGUCCCUUCGGCGGCCGAACUUGAGUUCUUCCAGAAAGGCAGAACUCAGCCUCCUCAUGCACAAAUAGCCUCCAAACCUUCCAAAACAACCCAAAACCUCACAUGCUCUCUCCCAAGCAUGCAUACACACUCCCACAUGCAUAAACUAGCCUAAACCUCCAACAUAAUAUCACAUAAACAUACAUUGAGCAUAAAACCCACAUCAACCUUAACAUGCACAUCUACUCUAUCCCAAGCAUCAAAACUUCUUAAAACUUCAUUAAACAUAAAGGAAAGCAAAGAUCCACACUUACCUCUUGAAGAUCAAGGGUUGGUGUGAUCCCUAACUCGGAGAUAGGAGAAAACAACUCCUUGGGUCUCCAAGCUCCCAAAAAUUGAUCUUAAGCUCAAAACUCUUCAAAACAAAGAUAAAACUCAUGAAAACUUGAGGGAUUUGAAGAGAAAGCAUGAAAACAACCAAAGGAGGACAUGAACUCACCCUAGCUCGAGAAUGGGGAGAAAACUCGCCCAUUUUCGAUCUGAGGGCCUUUUAUAGGUGGUCGGUCAACCACCUUCGGCGGCCUAAGCUGCUUCCACAACUUCGCCACCUUCGGCAGCCUAACGUGCCCCCUAAACUAUCCCAUGUUCGGCGGCUGAACUUGAGGUUCGGCGGCCGAAAGAAAGCCACUUUUGGAAGCCUAACGUGCCUCCUAAACAGCCCCAUGUUUGGCGGCCGAACCUGGAAAUGCUCUCCUUGGUCUUUUCUUUUCAAAACUCAAUUUCUUUUGCAUUAAAACCAUAAAAUCAUGUGAAAACAUUUUAGAAAACACAUUUUACCCUUCUAGAAGGCUCCAGCAUCUUUGAAUUCCAGAUUCCGACUGAGAUUCCACCGAAAAGUCAGGAUUCCGAUGCCAGGAUCUAGCCGGGUAUUACAUUUGUAAUGUACAAAUAGUUUAGGUUGUAAAUGUUGUGCUAGAUGGAUGCAAACCUAGGAAUGACCUUUUAACACAAAUACUUAUGGCUCGAAGUGGGCAUCCCUUAGCAUAGUCCAUGAUCACAUCUUUUAUUUUUAUUAGCCGAAUUUAUGAAUGUUUAUACAUAUAUGAUGUGUAUGUUCAUAUGCAUGAAUGAAUGUAUAUAGUUGAUAUGCAUAGUUUAAAUCGGCUAAUGUGCAAAGUGAGACCUUAAUAGUAAUUAGGCCGAUCAAGAAAAUCUUCCAACUAAAUGAUUGAAUCUAUGGCUCUCCACUAAGACAAUUGAUUAAGAGGCUUAGGUAUUUAUGUUGUUGGCUAUGGUUACAUGGGGUGACAUAAUUGACUUAGUGUCCUCUUAAGAUAAUGGUUAAGCAUAUACUGUUGUGGGUAUGUAAGGGGCUUAAUGGGCAAUAUUGGAUGUAACUGAGUUCAUUAAGUAACUUGACACAUUCGGUGGCUCAGUGUGCUUGAUUCAACUGAUACAAGCAGGCCAAUAAUGGAUGUACCUGAGGUCUUGAGCAUUGGGAGCUAAGUUUAUUGAUUGAGUCUUGCAUAAGAUAAGGAAUCAGUCAAGACAAAAUUCAUUAUCCCAAGUAAAUAGGCGGUGUCCUAUAACCGAGUUAAUUAUUCUUAAUAACAAGUUCUUAGCUAAGGCAGUAUGACUUAAUUAGAAAAGGUUUCUAAUGUAAGUCUUGUUAAUCAACAAUUAGAAUUAAGCAAUGGUCAUAUGGUCCAAAGUAUUGGGAUUUGACAUUUACCGUGACCCUAGUUUAGACUGGGAUCUCUAAUGAAAAGAUUCUAGUGCAUAAUAAUUUAUGAUGAUAGUUCAGAUUAAAUGGAAUAAUACAUGCAUUGUUAAUUGAGUAGCAAUGGCGGAUUAUGCUAGACACUAACCAUGAUUUAUGGGAAUCGAAAAUACAUAGAAUGUCAUUCGAGGUAUAUAGAAAGGUCGUUUCUAUUUUUAUUGCCAAUUGACUAUGAACCUGGAAAGUCACACACAUAAGGAUCAAUUUUGAUAUGAUUAAUUAAUUAAUUAAAUGUGUUUAAUUAAUUGUAUUAAUUAAUUGAAUUUAGUUAACAAUACAAGUUGCAAGUUUCUAGUAUGACUUGAAUUAAAUUCAAUCUUAAUAAGUUAAAAUUAAUUUAAUGGAGAUAAUGAAUUCAUGUAAUGAAUUCUAUCUAUGUAGGAUAUGGAUUUUAAAUAAGAAAAAUGAAUUCAUGUGAUGAAUUCUAUUUAUAUAAGAGAUGGAUCUUAAAUAAGAAAAAAAUAAAUUCAUGUAAUAAAUUUUAUCCAGUAGGACAUGGAUAUUAAAGAAGAAAAUUAAUUCAUUUGAUGAAUUAAAAACAUAUAGGACCUGAGCUUGGAAGAAAGUAAAAAUGUUUCAUUGGGCCAUAUUUGAUAUGGACUUUAAUUUAUUGUUAUAUGAGCCUUAAAUAUAUUUUGAUGAAAUUAAGACAUUAAUCUUAUUCUCUUAAGGGGUGUAAGACCAAAUGUUGGUCUAGCCCAUAUUCAAUUAAUAUAAUUAAUUAAAUUAAUAUGAUUAAUUUAAUUAAUUUAGAUUUAAUAAUAAACAUGUGCAUGACACAUGUAAAAUUAUUCUUAAGACCACAUAUUAAUAUAUGGAACAAACUCUCAUUUCAUGUGGAUUUGAGUUAUUUAAUAGUUAAAUCUGAUAUUAGACCUAAGGUCAAAUGUUGUCUAAGUCUAAUAAUUCAUUAAUAGUGAUUAAUGAAUUUGAUUAUAAAUUAAUGUAAAUUAAUUUAAUUAAUUAUAAUUAUGAGAUUGAUUAAUUAAAUUAAUUGUUAAUUAAAUUAAUGAAAAUUAAUUUAACUAAUUAUGAUUAAGUGAUUAAUUGAUUAAUUAAAUUAAUGAAGAUUAAUUUAAUUAAUUAAAUUAGAGAAUUAAUACAUAUAUGUGAUGCAUAAAAAAUUCACUCUAACCUAAAAUAAUAUCACAUGGUUUAGAAGUUAUUUAAAGAGAGUUUAGGGGUUAGAGAAUUAAAUUCCUAACCACUACCCCAUCCCUUCCAACUCUAUAUAAAGGAGAGAGGUGAGGGGAUGGAUAUGAAGAAGCCUCAUUCUUUUCCCUUAGUCAAAUUUGAGAGCUCCUCUCAUGUUCUUCUUCCUUUUCUUCUUAUUCUUAGUGAGAGAAACUUAUAUUAUCUCCAUUGUUAAGAGAGUUAAAUGUUAACUCUCCAACUCAUCCUACCUAGCCUGUGAGGAAAACUUUGAUCUUCUGUUUUCGGCUUUUAAGAAAAAUUUAGAGAUAAAAGAUUUCGAUCGUGGGUGAUGGAUCAUGCCGAGAUUGGCUUGUAUCGAAGGAUCAAAGGGUUGACUUUUGGAGGUCUAAAUUCCACCAAAUAAAUAUGUUGCACUACAAGAGUUAGGAUUCUAAAUUUUCUUUAGAAUAGUUAAUCUCUUAUUUUCUCUAUAUUGGCUAAUGGGUUGAUUUCCUUUGAUACAAAUGUUGUGCGAUAAUUUUUAUGUUGAUACUUGAAUUAAUUAAGUAAAAAUUAGAGCAUUGAGUAUGAAAUUAUAGUAAUUAAGAAAAAUUUUAAAAUUGUAUAAUUUUGCUUAAAUCUAUUUUUGCUUCCACUGUGUGUGUUGGACAAGGUCAUAGAAAGCUUUCAUUAUAUUGGUCUUUUUUGCAAUUGUUAAAGCUCAAGAUGUGAUUUGCUUAAAGGUUUGUGGAUUGCAUCAUGUUGUGUGUUACCACCGUCAAAUACAAUACAUCCCUUAAUGGGUUGGAUUUUGGACCUCUUACACCCUAUCGCAUUCUAAGGUAGGGAGAUCCUUUGUCCCCUUAUUUAUUUUUUGUGCGGAGGGGCUUUCAACUUUAUUUAGGAAAUCAGAACUCAGUGGGGAUGUGCAUGGUGCAAAAAUAUGUACACAAGCCUCGAGUAUUUCUCAUUUACUGUUAUGUCGGGCUGUAAAGGCUAUUCUCCAAACUUAUGAGGGUGCUUCAGAUCAAGCAAUCAACGUUCAAAAAUCUGGUAUUUUCUUCAGUUCUAAUGUAACAUCCUUUGAGCCCACACCAGUGAAUAUUGUUCACUUCGGGUCAAGGGAUUGACACCCUUUCUUCUCUCACGGUUUUAUUUCCGGGUUAAGGGAUUGGUUACCUUUUCUUCCCAAAACGCGUCCACUGGGGUAUCCAGGGCAUGCCCUUAUAAGGCCUUGCCCCUUCUAACCUCUUUCCGAUGUGGGAUACCUUUGAUCCACCUACAUAGGGUUCCUUCUCCCCAUACAGGCCUGAGCGUCCUUGCUCAGCACACCGUACUCAUGAGGCCCAGGCUCUAAUACCAAUUGUAACAUCCUCUGGGCCCACACUAGUGAAUAUUGUCCGCUUCGGGUCAAUGCAUCACGAUUGCCAUGUUUAUAUAUUAGGAUGUUUGCAUUAGAAUUCACGAAUAUGAUGCAUUGCAUAAUUUACUGUUGAUGUGGAUGGAUAUUGGAUGACCCAUUAGCCCUCGAGAUGAUAUGAUAUGAUACGAUACAGAAGUCCAGGUGAGGCCCAUUCUAUGCCCCUGGCAUUUUGGAUAUGUUAUGUUGUGUUUAAGCGAAAAUCCUGAGGAGGUUCGUCGGGGGCCGGGCACAUUGGAAUAUAUAGAGGGUUACUAGUAACAAGUCCAUCUUGAUGUAAUGUUAUUAAACUGUUUUUCUGUUCUGUUCACUAGGCUCUUGUAGCUUAUCCCUCUCCCCUAACCCUAGGUUUGCAGGGUCAAAGAUAGCUCGGGAAGUCGGCAUAGUAGCUGGUAUAGUUUGAUGUAAUAGAAUAGUUGUGGACAUUUAUUGUAUAAUGGAUUAGAAUUGUGUUUUGCCCUAGUUUUUAUCUUUGUAAUCCCUGUUAACAUGAUCCUUAUGUAAAAGUUUUAAAUUAUGAGUUAUGUUGAACCAAGCUUGAGGCAUGUGAUGUUAACCAUGCUAGAGCAUUUGAUAAGGGCUCUAGUAUGGGUUUUAUAUUUUCAGUAUGAUUCAUGUACAGGUUGAGCUUGGUUUCAUGGAAAUGUUUAAGUUUUUAUUGUAAUGUAAGAUCAUGUAUGGGAUUUUAUCAGGUACCCAUGAUGUAUAGUAGGCUUGCUACGGGUUCCGACGACCUUAAGUCGAUCUGAAUCCUAGCACCGGUAGUGGUCCGAUUUCCGUAUUGUUACAUCUAAUGUGAAAAGUGAUGCAAGGAUUGUGGCUUAUAGGGAGCUAGGAGUCAAUUCUCCACUCAACCAUGAUAGGUAUCUUGGCUUCCCUUCUUUAAUAGAUCAUAAUAAGGAACAAGACUUUUCUUAUCUAAAAGAAAGAUUAUGCAGGCGAAUAAAUAGUUGGCAUGGUAGAUUUCUUUCCAGUGCAAGUAAGGAAAUUCUAUUGAAAUCAAUAGCACAUACCAUACCAUCUUAUUGCAUCUGUAUUUGCUGUCCCUAUCACUCUUUGUGAAGAGCUUCAGUGAAUGAUGAAUUCUUUCUGGUAAGGUUCUAAAGAUAACGGACAUAAGUGGAUACAUUGGCUAUCUUAGAAUAAAAUAUACUUGGCGAAAGAAUAUGGUGGAAUGAGUUUUCAAAUUCUUUAUUAAUAUUUUAGUAUGGCAAUGCUUAGUCGGUAAGGAUGGAGAAUUUUUCUGACCCUGAUGCUUUUCUUUGUAGAAUUUUCAAAGUUAAAUACUUUCCGCAUAUGAACUUUUUGCAGGCAGAAGAAGGAUAUACUCCUAGUUUUAUUUGGAAAAGCUUAUUGCAGACUUAAUCAUUACCGAUUAAAGGUUUAAGUUAUAGGGUUGUGAAUGGAAAGAGUGUGAAAAUUUGGGAUCACCCAUAGCUUAUCAAUGAUAGGAAUUUUUUUCCUAAGACCCCAUAGUUGAUGGUCUAGAGGAUUUUACGGUAUUAGGUUUAAUUAACUUGGAUGGAUGAACUUGAAAUUUCAACUUUCUAUCAGAGCUUUUUCUCCCUAAUGAUGUGCACUAUAUACUACAAAAGUGUACCUAAUAGUGAUAACAAAUUAAUUUGGCACUUUACUAACUCUGAGUUAGGGUAUCAUGUUGUUGCUCACAAUGACAAUACUAUCAAUAGUUAUGCUAUCCCAAGUAAGUGGAAGCAGAUCUAGAAGCCCCAUGUCCCUCCAAAAUUCAAGAAUUUUAUGUAGAGUUUUAAGAGGUAUCUUACCAGCAAAGUUAACCUAAAGUUUAAAUCAAUAAACAUCGAUUCUUGUUGCCUGUAUUGUCCAAAAUUUGAAACUAUUGAUCAUGUAUUUCUACUUUGCCUGUAUGCCAAACAACGUUGGUAGAUUUUAGGAUUGAAUCUUGAGUCACUUGAAGCUACCAAUUUAGCAAACUUUGACUCAAGAGGAUAAAGAGAAUAUGUGUGCUGUGGCUUGGAGUAUCUGGACCGCUUCUUUAGGACAAUACACCUUCUACUGCAGAAGAAGUUGUAUCUUCAGGUCUUAGGGUUUUAAAGGAAUGAAAGGAGGUUCAGCCUAUUACAUCUGUAAAUUUAUAAUUAUUUUGAGAAAUAAAGUAAUUUUCGUAUAUUAAAAAUAACACAGCAAUAUCUAUAAAAAUUACAUUAAUUUUAAAUAAAAAGAAUUUAAUUGAUUGCACUAUAAACUAAUUAGAAAGUGUAACUAAAAUAAAAAAGGAUUAUUUAAAUUAAAAAAAUUAAGAGAAAAUUUUGAAUAAAAAUAAUUUAAUAAUAACAAUUGAUAAAGUCAAGCAAAUUAAAUAAAAAAUAAAAUAUCAUUUUUUAAAACAUAUAUUAUUACCGUGAAUUACGCUAGUUAAAAAUAAAUAAAUAAAUUUUAAACUUGUAAGUACAUCACAAGGAAACUUGUUUCCUGUAAUUCACAUUUGUUUCUUGGCAAUCGGGAGACGCUGUAAAUCCUUCGAUUCCUGGUCUCCUCGAUCAAUUCAUGAACCUGCAUUGUACGGAUCCUAUCGGCAUUUCAAAUUCUGGAUUUUCUUUUUUGAUUUUGUUUCCUUGAAAUUUCCUGGAUUUGAAUUUCGGGUUCUGGAACCUGCAAUUCCUUGGCAAUGGAUGUAAACGAGAAUGUGAAUCAAUAUGUAGGGAUUUGAAUCCUCUGCAUUUGUUUGGAUCAAAUCUGGGAAAUGCAAAUGGAUUUACUUUUCGCACGGAUCGGAUCGAGAAAUCUUUCACAUAAGUGUUAGCUGGUUUUUUUGACCUGCAUUUAGUCAAAGGGAAUCAGAUUUUGUUUAGGAUUUGAGAAAUUUAGUGUUGCAGUUGGAUACUUUAAUACAUAGAUGGAUCCGAUAUCGGCAGUUAGCGAAGAGCUUGGGCAGAUCGACGGGCAGAUAGCUGAUAUUUUUCGAGUCUUAUCGUAAGGAUGUUUCGAAUUUCCUGCUACUUAGAUCAUUGAUGCAUUUUUUAUUUUGGUCAGUUUUUUAUUGUUUUUGUUGCAUUACUCAUUUUCCGUUGAUGGUAUGGCACUUUAAGCUGUAGAACAAAUUAAGUGGAUUUGUUAAUUUAUCUUCAUCGAACCGCAUCUUUUUUGUGCAAGCUUAUGUAAGUAAGCCUUGAUAAAUAUAAUACUGCUGAUUUUGUCUUUUGGAAAUUGGAACAUAAUAAGAUGUUGAAUAACGCAUUUGAAGCUGGAGAAUCAUCAAAUUUGGCACUUAAUAAUUUGCUAGUUAUUGGUGCUUGUGAUUGUGAAGUGUAACUUGUGUUAUGCUUGCAGAAAUGGGUUUCAGAAAUUGGAGAAGAUCAAGGAUGUUAAUAGGCAGAGUAGGCAGUUGGAAGAGCUUACUGAGAAGAUGCGGGAGUGUAAAAGGUUUGGCGAUACUGCCUUGUCUAUCCUUAGCUUGCUGUCCACGGUUCAACUUUGAAUGCAUGCAUAUACAGUUGCCUAAUAGCAUAGUGCCCUAGUAAGAUAAUGUUUGUGAUUUAAUUUGAAUCACUGGCAAUUGUUUUGCUGACUUGAAUGUCUUAGUUAUGUGCUUAGCAUUAUUGAUAAAGCAUUCUAGACAAAGAGUGACAAAAUUAACAAAAAAAGGUUCUUGUAAACCUUUUUUGAUCAAAACUUUUAGAAACUUUUAGAACGCAGGGAAGUUUGACCCAAGUGUUUGCUUGCAAAGUAAUUAUGGGAGGCCCAGUCCAAGAAUAAUGUUUAUCUCCAUCCCCUGUAGGACUGGGAUGCUCGUGAUCUAUACCAAAAUAAUUACUUGACGAGAAGUUUCAAUGCAUUGGUAAUUUGGCAAAUGAACCUUUGACAGUUACCAAUUAUCUUGACCAGAGAUUUCAUAAAUCAUAGCUCCAGAAGUGAUGAAUAUGAUCUAUUCCUUCAAUGGCAUGAGAUAAACAUUGUAUUUAAUUUUUUUCUUUUUUUUAAUGAAUUCCUUCAGGAUUGUGCUUAUCACACGCCAAGGAAUUUAAGCAAAUCUUGCCUUGUAACAUACAAGGAAUUUAAACAAAUUCCUAGCAUUACCUUAGUUGGAGAUUGCUUCAAAUUUCCAACAUAAAGAGCUUCUUUAAUGAGAGCUCUUGCAAGUGUAUACAUGUGCUUCAGUCCUUGUUCCUUGCCCAUCAUGGGUGGACCUAGGCUCAGCCCGUAUUCCUUCAUUUAGGUUGCAUGAUCAGAUUGUGAUAGAGAAUAAGGAACACAAAAAUAGGAAUUGACUGAACAGAGAAAGGGAUUUGGUAUUUCGGUAAACCAUAGACUACAAUCUCCGUUAAUAUAAUGACAGUAGUAUAUAAGGAACACAAAUAUAGAAAUUGAUUGAACAGAGAAAUUGAUUGAAUAGAGAAAGGGAUUUGGCAUUUGAACCAAGUACAAAUCAAUUUGUUAACAAUAGUAUAUAAUAUUCUUUCAUAGUCCUCCUUAUUUCAUAUCUUGGGGUUCACUUAUGAUAUUAUGAGGCCAUAAUAGACCUUAAGAACUUGGUGCAUGCACUGUUGAAUUUUUAUGGAAUGGAAUUCCAACGUUUGAAUGACUACUAGUAUGCUUUUAUCUUCUAAGACUAUUGUAUUAAAAUGUCUAGUUCUUUAGGUUUACUAUCAAUUUUUUUUUCCUUGUAUUGUUGGAAUUGUUGUGAACAUCCCAUAAAAAAAUUGCCAUAUUCCAAAAGGAAAGUAAAUCCUUCUAGUAUUGUUAUUUGUGUUUUUACUAUUUAUUCUUUGCUCAUUAGUCUGAGUUUUCUUGUUUUCCAGGCUUAUCAAAGAUUUUGAUAGGGAAGUGAAAGAUAUGGAGAGUAGAAAUGACCCAAACACUAAUAAAAUGCUGAAUGAGAAAAAGCAAUCAAUGGUGGGCCUUUUUUUUUUUUUAAAAAAAAUAGAAGUCAAUUUGCUAAUUUGCUUCCUAAUUAUNNNNNNNNNNNNNNNNNNNNNNNNNNNNNNNNNNNNNNNNNNNNNNNNNNNNNNNNNNNNNNNNNNNNNNNNNNNNNNNNNNNNNNNNNNNNNNNNNNNNNNNNNNNNNNNNNNNNNNNNNNNNNNNNNNNNNNNNNNNNNNNNNNNNNNNNNNNNNNNNNNNNNNNNNNNNNNNNNNNNNNNNNNNNNNNNNNNNNNNNNNNNNNNNNNNNNNNNNNNNNNNNNNNNNNNNNNNNNNNNNNNNNNNNNNNNNNNNNNNUUUUUUUUCUGUUUCACUCAUUAUGAUGACAUAUAAUUUAAAAUUUCAUCAAAAUUGAAUUUUUUUUAUUGUUAACUUUUGCCGAACUAGGCAAGGAACAAUUUAUGAUGGUUGGCUUAACGACUUUGCUUGCUACUUCUUGUGUUUUGAAUUGAAUAUCUUGAUUUCUUUCUUUCUUUAUAGCUAUCACUUUAUUGUUCUCUAUUGGUAAAAUAUUUGAAAAGUCCAUUACAUUUGGCAGUACUUACCUAUUUUACAAUUUAAUUUUUUUAUUUGGUACUUGUUCAAAAAAUAAAGGAAUGAUGAUUAUAAAAAUGAUACAUAUUUGUGGUAAAAUGAUAUCUUCCUUCCUCAUCAGUUAUCAUGUACAAUUUUAGUAUGUAGGAAUAAUAAAGGUCAUGUUUUUUUCCCAUGCAUAAUGCAUUUUAAUUUUUAUGUGAUUAAAAAGUCAUAUUGGCUUGAAUUUUAAUGAAUUGAGUUUUUCAUCAAGGUGCAACAUGAUAUUUCCAGAAGGGCAAGGUUAAAUAUUCAAAUGCUUAUGAUGGUUGAUAAAAAUGUAUAUGUUACAUUUAUAUUAUGUAAUAUAUGAAUGUUUAUCAUCAAAAAUAUAUAUCAAAUGCAUUUAUACAUAAUGGGUAAAAUUAAAAAUCAUUGCUCUUUUAAGUUAUGAAUAUUAUCUAUAAAAAAAUCUAUGCUAAUUUUUUAGCAAUUUAUUUUUAAAUAUAUAAUAUUUAUUAACUAAGUAGAUAAAAAUUCAUCUAUUUUGCAAUAAAACUUAUUUUGAUUAUUUUCAUAUUUAAAAACAAAUGGAGAUAACUUUUCAUUCUAUUCUAAAAAAAUGAAAUUAUGUUAUUAUGUCUAUAUUGUAUAAAAUUAUAAAUUAAUAUGUUACAAAUAAAAAGUUUAUAUAACAUUAAAUAUCCAAUAAAUGUUCAAAUAAUAAUAGUUAGGGAAAAGAAAAGGCCAUUAGUCCCUGACUAUUGCCAUUAUUAACGAGUCAUUUCCUAUAUUUUUAGAAACCUAUUAAAACGUUCUUAUUUUUUCUCUCCGUCCAUAAAGUAUUCAUUCCUUCUCCUCUUCCUUCUUAAAUAAAAAGAAGAAGAAGCAAAAAGAAGAAGGAGAAUAAGAUGGGGCUAAUUUGGCCUUUUGCUUAUUUUUAAUGGCAGAAAUAGACGGAAUUGGAUGGAAAGACUAUUUUAUUGACGGAGAGAAAAGAUAAGGAAGUUUUAAUAGAUUUUUCAAAAUCAAGGGACUGACUUGUUAAUAAUGGCAAUAUCCAGGGGUUAAAUAGUAAAUUCUCCUAAAAAAAUAUUGUGAGGUAGUGAUAAAAAAGUUAAAAGAAAUAUUGUGAUGUAGUGAUUGAUAUAGUAAGACAAAUAGAAAAGAUAUGCAUUUAAAUUAUGGGCAAAGUAUAUAAAAGUAUUUUGUGGGUUCACACAUUUUCACUUCAAGUCUAUGGUAUGAUUUGUAUUAAAGUAGUAUAUUUUAGUAUCACACUAUUAACAAACAGUGGUAAUUUCUAGAUACUGUCAGGAAAUAUCGAAAUAGCAAGCAAAAUAUAAUUGUUAAUUUUUUUCUUAAUAUUUUUAAUGGAGAAAGUGGAAAAAAGUACUUUGUGCUUUCACUCAUUUUUACUUCAAGACAUGUGAUUCAAUUUAUAUUAAAGAAGUAUCUCGUGAUAUGAUUUUCAUGUUAAUAUUUUUUGACGACGUUUGGAUUUUGGAAAUUAUCGUUGUUUGCUAACAACACAAUACUACUAGCUACUAUUUUGAUACAAAUUGAAAUACAAACCUUAAAAUGGAAAAUCGAUAAAAUUAUAGAACACUUUUUUGUACUUUUCUCUUAGAUUAUUAGCGGGUGAAUUUGAAGAGAAAAGGUGGAGAAAAAAAGUAAAACUUAAAAAGAGUACUUUGGUUUGGCAAUUGUGGUUAAAUAUUGGGAAGUUGGCAAUUAGUUGUUAAAUGUUAGCGAUUGAUGGCUAGCAUUUUAGGGGUAAAAUCAUGGUUUUAAAUAAGACUAUUACGUGACGUAACGGUUGUUAUGUAACGGGUUUUUGGGCUGUUACCUCCUUAUACAACGCCCCCCCCCCCUUGAUUUACCGGCAUAACGGCUGUUACCGGCAUAAUGGCUGUUACNNNNNNNNNNNNNNNNNNNNNNNNNNGCCAUUAACGGUUGCCAUUGAAUAACAGUAAUGGCCAUUAUCGCCCGCCAUUACGUAACGGUAAUGGCCGUUACAGUCGUUGCCAUUACCGUCUGCCGUUGCGUAAUGGUAACGACAGUUACCAAUGAUUAAAAUUAUUUUAUAUCCUUUCUCUUUUGCUCCCUAUUCUCAUUUUCAUUAGUUUCUAUACUUUUCAGCAGCUUCAAAGGCUAUAUUUUUUAAGUUCUCUUCCCUUCUUUUUCAAAUUUCAAUCUUCCCUGCAUAUUUCUCAUAUAAGCUUAGAUCCAUCAUAAACUACUCUAUUUUCAAGCUUAUUUCUUCUAAAAAUUUAGUUAAAUUUUAUCUAUGUUAGUUUUUGUUGACUUAUUUGCUAAUCCUAAUUGAUUCUAGGGAUUUGAUUUGAUUUGAUUAGGAUCCUUAAUUAUCUCUGUAAUUAUUAUUUGAUUAUUUGCUUCCUGUUUAGAUAUGAUUCUUUGUGUAUAAAUAGCCAUGUAGACAUAUUGUACAAAUCAAGAGUGAAAUACAAGAAUACUCAAUANNNNNNNNNNNNNNNNNNNNNNNNNNNNNNNNNNNNNNNNNNNNNNNNNNNNNNNNNNNNNNNNNNNNNNNNNNNNNNNNNNNNNNNNNNNNNNNNNNNNNNNNNNNNNNNNNNNNNNNNNNNNNNNNNNNNNNNNNNNNNNNNNNNNNNNNNNNNNNNNNNNNNNNNNNNNNNNNNNNNNNNNNNNNNNNNNNNNNNNNNNNNNNNNNNNNNNNNNNNNNNNNNNNNNNNNNNNNNNNNNNNNNNNNNNNNNNNNNNNNNNNNNNNNNNNNNNNNNNNNNNNNNNNNNNNNNNNNNNNNNNNNNNNNNNNNNNNNNNNNNNNNNNNNNNNNNNNNNNNNNNNNNNNNNNNNNNNNNNNNNNNNNNNNNNNNNNNNNNNNNNNNNNNNNNNNNNNNNNNNNNNNNNNNNNNNNNNNNNNNNNNNNNNNNNNNNNNNNNNNNNNNNNNNNNNNNNNNNNNNNNNNNNNNNNNNNNNNNNNNNNNNNNNNNNNNNNNNNNNNNNNNNNNNNNNNNNNNNNNNNNNNNNNNNNNNNNNNNNNNNNNNNNNNNNNNNNNNNNNNNNNNNNNNNNNNNNNNNNNNNNNNNNNNNNNNNNNNNNNNNNNNNNNNNNNNNNNNNNNNNNNNNNNNNNNNNNNNNNNNNNNNNNNNNNNNNNNNNNNNNNNNNNNNNNNNNNNNNNNNNNNNNNNNNNNNNNNNNNNNNNNNNNNNNNNNNNNNNNNNNNNNNNNNNNNNNNNNNNNNNNNNNNNNNNNNNNNNNNNNNNNNNNNNAUCCUAAUUGAUUCUAGGGAUUUGAUUUGAUUUGAUUAGGAUCCUUAAUUAUCUCUGUAAUUAUUAUUUGAUUAUUUGCUUCCUGUUUAGAUAUGAUUCUUUGUGUAUAAAUAGCCAUGUAGACAUAUUGUACAAAUCAAGAGUGAAAUACAAGAAUACUCAAUAUUCUUCCAAAAAUCUUCAGUUUUUAAUUGUUGUUUUUCCAUUUUUUAAAAAUGUUUUUGCUUUUUUAAUUGUUGUUUUUCCAUUUUUUAAAAACGUUUUUGCUGAUUAAAGUGUUAGUUUUAAGUUAAAAUUGCACUUUGAGCUGUUAGUUUAUCUAUAAAGAUUAUGUUGAUUUUUCUUAUUUUAAACUAUAUGAUGUUUAACUUAAUUUAAAUAAUCUAUAUUUUAUGUAUUUAUGUUUAUUAUGCAUUUGUAUUCAUUGUUCUGAAUUAAAUGUAAUCAAUAUCAUUCAUUUAUGAACUUUGCAAAUUUUUUUGAAAAAUUUGCGUAGCGUCAGGCCAUUACCAUUACAUUACAGCGUUUCAGGCAUGUUUCUGUUAUCCGUGGCUGCGAUCGCAAAUGUGGCUGUGAUCGCGAUUUAAAACCAUGGUUAAAAUCUAAUAACUAGAGGUGUAACUUUUAGUGUUAGAAUUAGGGCUGUGCACAGUUCUUGGAGGUUUCGAACUGAACAGAAGAACCGUAUCGGAACCAAAAAAGAACUAAAGAAUUGAUAUCAUAUAACCUGAACUGUACCGAACUGAACUUAUUUAGCUAUUUGGUUCUGGUUUCUUGUAGAGAACCGUACCAGAAGCGUAUGAAAAACCGAUUUUAUAUAUAUUAUUUUUAAAUAAUUUUAGUGAUAUUAUAGUUAUAUUAUAUAAUUUCCAUAAUAUAUUUUAUAUCUUAUAUAGUUUCAAUAGAAUCUUAUAAUUUAUAUUACUAAAAUUAUAAGAUUCUAUUUAAUGAAUUAAAAUCUUAAUUUUAUAAAUUGUUAAAUAAUAUAUGAUAGAAAAUUGUAAAUAAGUAAAGGUAUAAACAAAAUAGUUAUUUGAGAGUUAUUCCAAACUUAAUAAAAGUUUAGUUCCUUGCGUAUGUAUAUACACUCUCUUUGAUUAUUUUUAUAUUUAAUACUACCUAUUGCUUUUAUAAAUUAAAUUAUUCAUAUAAUUUAAAAAUGACUCUCUCGCUUAACUAUUAAAUAGUUACUAAAAAUAUUAUAAAAUAACCAUAUAAUCUAAUUAGUUAUUAAAAAUUUCUAACAAUAUGAUUUAAAUAAUUUAAUUAGUUAAUCAUAGUUUAUUCUAUCUAAAUAGGUUAUAUAUAUAUAUAUUUAUUAUUUCAACUAUAAAUAUAUUAAUCACUUUAUAGUUUUUAAUUAUAUUAUAUGAGUGAACCACAAAUUAGUAAUAUAAUAAGUCUUUAUAUAUUAAUUACACAUAUAUUUUUGCAUUAAAAAAAUAUAAUUAAUAAUUAUAUAUAAAAUAAUAUAAUAUUUUUACUGAGAAUUGUAUAGAAUAUAUAUUAAUAUUGAUAUUAUUAUUGUUUAAAUGUUAGUAUUUUUUUUUUUUUGAUAUUUGUUAUUUACUAUUUAAAAUAAAACAUAAGAAUAUUAUAAUUUUAUUUGUAAAAAAUCAAGAUUUGAACUAAAAUUAAAAUUAAAAUUGAAGUUAAAAAAAAUCAAAAUAAGAAUCAGAACCGAACCAAAACCGUACUGAAAUUGCUUAGAACCGUAUUGAAAUUUGGUUCUAAGUAUGGUUUCUUAAAAUCAAAGAAUCGGAGGUUUAGUUCCGGUUCUGAUUUUUAGCCAGGCCCGUAACAGAACCGGAUCCGAACAGAGCUAGUUAGAAUUAUACUUUAAACCAUUGUAAACUUUUGAAAAGCAGCUGCUAGCUCACCAUGCAUAGCAAAAACCCGACAUGCUAAAAACUUGUUUCUAACCACUUAUCCAAAAUUUUGAAUAUUCCUUAAAAAAUUCUCUAUUUUGUUAUUCUUACAUUAACACAUCUAUUGAGAAUUGAUCAUUAAGUAGUUUUUAUCACAAUAUACAUAAAUUUUUUAUCCUCAAUCAUCUAAGUAUUUGACUCCUCCAUUUGGUAUUGACUAUUGGUCUCUUCGACUCAUGUUGAUCUAAAUGUAACAUUUACCCAGUUCUGCAUGGAAUGAUGUAUGAAUAUCCAAAGUCUAAACAUACUUUUGCUUAAUUAUUUUUUUCCGGAGUGAUUUGAUUGUCAAGUGAGAAACUAUUUUGUCUUGGGAUUGAAGUUUGAAGUUGCUAUCAAAAUUGCAAAAUAGUUGAUUUCCCCUAAAUGAUUAGAAUAACUUUUUGGAGUUAAAUGUCAGAUCUUUUAUUCACGAAUAUAGCUUAAUAUUGCGUACUUUGCUUAUAAUAACUAAUUCAGCCCUGGUAUGAUGGCAUAUAGACAUGCAGCCAGUCUUGAAAGCAACAAGAGAGUUGAUCUUUUUGAUGGGCCUGGUGAAGAAUUAAAUGAAGAAAAUGUAUUGCUAGCUUCAUGUAAGUCACAGUAUUUUUUGUUGACUUUUCUAUUUUUCUCAUUUUGGGAGCAGAUGGGAGUUUUGAGUUGAUUGAGAAUACUAGUAGAAUUUCCUAUAGUUAAAAGGUCAAAUUUGCCCAUGAAUUAUACAAGGAGAGCUAAAAGUAUUAAAUUUUAUUUUUUAGUCAAAUUUGCCCCUGAACUAUCAUUAAAAGGCCAAAUAAAACCAUCACUUGUAAAGAUUUAAGAGUGUGAGCGAUGCUCUUUUCAAUCUAUUGUAAGGAUUAAGAGUGAGCUAUGCUCUUUUCAAUCUAUUUAGCUUUAUUUGAGUUUAUUUGGCCUUUUAAUGAUAGUAUAGGGGUAAAUUUAUACCGAAAGAUGAAAUUUAGCAUUUUGACUUCUGCUAUAUAGUUUAGGAGCAAAUUUGAUCUUUUUACUAAUUGCUUAUCUCUAUUUUUCUGUCCUUGUUUCUCUUCUCUUUGUCAUCUUUUCUAUCUACUUGCUUCAUAUCAAGUCACUUGUCCUACAAAGCUAACUCAUAAUUGCAUGCUGAUAAUCUAAUUUCAUUAUUAAUUUCAGUGUUAGUAUUUGUGAGUUUGUUAAUUUUACGUAUUGCAGAAAAAUGUAAAGAGGUGUGAAAGGUUGUUGAAAACUCAACAAAGGUUGGCUGAGUUCUGGAGGGAAAUUCUUAAGAGUAAUUAUUCUGUUGAAUAACUAACUCCUGGCAGGAAAGAGAAGGAUAAUAUAGCCCUUCUACGGAUUGUAUAUCCAUUCAUCAUUCAAGAAUCAAUAUAAUCUUCCUUCUUUCUCUAAAUUCUCUCUCUAUACUCCUUCCAUUCUCCUUCCAUUCUCCAUACUGUCUCUCAGAUCUCUCUCUUACUUCUUUCUCUCCCUCUCCUUCUAUAUUUCUUAAUUUCUUUGUUAGGAUUUCUGUCCUAACAAUUAACUCACGGGGUUAUAGGUUGCAUAUUAUUGAAUGCAAAUUGGUAUUAUGACCAGAGUUAGGAAAAUGAUCUUUUAGGAUGUUGAUAAUUAUUCAGAGUGGUUGAAGAGUAUUUUUUGAAUUUGAAAUUCUGGUGGAGUUUUGACUUUGAACUCUUUUUCAAAGCCAGAUUGGCUUAUAGCAACACUUUUUGGCUGCAUUGCUUGAUUUUCUAUGUGAAAAGGGUAUAAUUGACUUUUCCAUGUAUGUAUCCGUACAUGUGAUGCAUGAUUAGGAUGGGGUGGUGUUAUUUCCUACUGCACCAAGUUAUGCUGGAACUUUAUUUCGAAUGAUAUUCAUCCAAAACCACAUCAUUAUACAUUCACGAGGUAGAUGUGUUCUUGUGACUUAUUGACAUCUCCUUGCUUUAUGAUGGGUGCAUGAUGCAAUAUUUCUAUAAACCAUGGUAUCUUUUACCACUUGAUUGCAGUUCUGCCAUAGUGGAAACAUUAUUCUAAAAUUUUUUUGCUUCAUGACUCAACAAGUUAUAUAAGGUAGCAUUCUGGUUUCUCUUUUAUGUCCCAACAAAAACCAUUACAUUCUCAGUUGGUUGGUUCAGGAUUUUGUUUUGCAUUUGAUGCAAUUAGGCAUGGGAGUAAAACUAUGUAUUAUGUUGUUAUGUGCCCUUGAAUAGGAUCUUAUCACAGGUCGAUUAGCUGGAAAAUCCUCCUCCCGCCAGAUUGAUUUUCUCUUUUUAAUGUUUCUGCUCUUUUUUGAGGAAUCUAUUGUGAGAUAAAUUGAGAACUCGUUUGGGAGAAUUCUCGAAUUUCAUAAACUGAUGAAUAAUAUUUUCUGAAUGUUUUGUUCAAUGAUCUCAAGUGCCUCUUUAUAGUGAAGGCUACAUUCAAAUUGUAUCAACAUUUGAAUUCAUAAUACUUUUUAUCUUCUAUUAAAAUUUAAAAUUUAAAAGUUCAACCAAAGAUAGCAACUAAAAAAUCAAAUUAGAGAUAACAAGUUAAGAUACUAAUCUUAUUUGUUGCAACCACUCUAAUCAGAAUCUAUCAAAUAGAAAGAUAAUACAUAUUCAUGACGAUACCUCCUUGGAGAAAAAGCUUGUCCUCAAACUUGUCCCUAGGCUUGUUUGGUUCAAUAAUAGGAGACCCUGGAUCCUUCAACUCCACUCAAAGUAAAUUUUUGCAUUGAUGGUUAAUAAAUGUCUCAUCACAAUUGUAGGAAAGGCCUUUAGCUUGACGUUAAGCCAGUUCUAUCUUUCUAAGUCUUUUUUGACAAAUGGAGUUGAGGUGUUUCUGAUAUUUGAAGACGUUGCAUUAUUAUUUCCCUUAGACUUUUGAGUUAAACUACCAAUAGAUGGUGCAGACCUAAACUACCAAUAGAUGGUGGAGACCCUUGAAAAUGACCCAUAAGCUGCCAUCAUUCGACGCAAUUAUUGUUUCUUCUUGAAUGUUCAAGCAAAAUUCGUUGUUGUAACUAAAUUGGUAGGGUGUUUUCGUUCCACUUCAAGUCGAAUAGUCUUAGACAAUCCUAUAGUAAAAAAGUCAAUUUAUUAGUUGGUUCAAAUAGUUAUCGCUCUAGCCGAUAAGGAUUGAAAUUGGCAGUGAUAAUCUUCUAUUGAUUUAACUUGCUUUAAAUUCACUAACUCCCCCAAGGGAUUGCCAUGCAAAGGAGGACUAAAUUGCAAGUUGCAGUUCUCUUUGAACGCUUGCCAUGUCAUUCUAGGUUCUUAUUCAUGUCAAUAAAACCAAAAUUGAGCCUCAACAUUAAUAUGAAAGAUAGUUAGACUGACUUUAUCUACUUUCAUCGUUAGUUGAUUUUGAAAAAGUUAUUCAUAGUGAUUAAGCCAUCCAAGCGGGUCGUUGGAGCCAUCAAAUGAGGGAAAGCUAAGUUUCGUAUAUCUAGGCACUACGCGCCCUUUAGAAUGAUCAUUAUUUGGUUGGAAAAAAUUUUGUUGACUGCUAAUUGUUCCAUCUUGGUUUUGGUUUGCUUCUUUACUGAAGGUGCAAAUGAGCUCCGAAACUUGAUGAGAGAAGUCGUUGAAUCGAGCAUUGUUUUGUUGUUUGAAAGAGUUCAGCUUCUUUUCCAGAUUUGCUGAAUCGUCCAUAAUGAUCGACUAUGAUACCAAAUUAUUAUGUGCCCUUGAAUAGGAUCUCAUUAUAGGUCGAUUAAUUGGAAAAUCCUCCUCUCGCCAUACUGAUUUUCUCUUAUUAAUGUUUCUAGUUUUCUUUGAGAAACCUAUUGUGAAAUAAAUUGAGAACUCGUUUGAGAGAAUUCGAAUCUCAUAAACUGAUGAAUAAUAUUUCUGAAUGUUUUAUUCAAUGAUCUCAAGUGCCUUUUUAUAAUGAAGGCUACAUUUAGAUUGAAUCAACAUGUGAAUUCAAAAUUACUUCCUAACUUCUAUUAAAAUUUAAAAUUUAAAAAUUUAACUAAAGAUAGCAACUAUAUAAUUAAAUUAGAGAUAACAAGCUAAGAUACUGAUCUUAUUUAUUGCAACCACUUUGAUAAGAAUUUACCAUAUAGAAGGAUAAUGCAUAUCCAUAACAUAUGUCUUACCUUUAUUUGGAGCAUUUCUAAGACAGGCCAAAAUCUUUUGCAGCUAUGACAAAUCAGCAGUUAAUGGAUCAUGGAAACCAAAUGAUGGAUGAGACUGACCAUGCAAUUGAGAGGGGUAAAAAGGUGUGUCUUUGUAAAAGGCCUAUACAUACAUUUACUUAUUUACAUGUGUGAAGCUUCUGCAGAUACAAAGGACAAACCUUCAUACUCUCAGCUUAAACUCCACAACUCCUAACUGAAUGAAAAAAUAGAGAUAAUGAAAUAAGAAAAAUCAAAGAGGAAACUGUAGAAUGCUGUUUCUUGUUUUAAAGCUUUGAUGUUACUCUUUACUGUUCCCUGUUUGUUUGCCGUUAUCCUAGAUUGUUCAAGAGACCAUAAAUGUCGGAACAGAAACAGCAGCAGCUCUUAAGGCUCAGGUACACAAUUCAGCAUCUAAAAAGUUGGCUAGUGAUACUUUGUAGCAUCUAAGAACUUUGACUUGCUUUAUUAGAUUUUGUCCAGAAGCUAAAAGAAAAAAAAGGUAGAAUUCAAUGCCUUAUGCAAUGGCCUGGGAACUAAGAGCAUUUUCGUGUGCAGACUGAACAAAUGAGUAGGAUUGUUAAUGAGCUUGACUCUAUCCAUUUCUCAAUCAAGAAAGCUUCUCAAUUGGUCAAGGAAAUUGGUAGGCAGGUCAAUUUCUAGAAUAUCCACUUCCUUUUCAUACAUAUUUCCUUUCCUUUCAUUUGUUGUAGUUCAUGCUAACUUGAUUCUACCUUCAGGUUGCAACUGACAAGUGCAUUAUGGCAAUGCUUUUCCUUAUUGUCAUUGGAAUCGUAGCAAUUAUUAUUGUGAAGGUAAAUCAUCCUUGUGCUUUCUUCAGUCAAGAAAUGAUAGCAUUAAAGUUUGAGAUUUGCUUGCCACCUAUUGUCAGUUUGUUACUAAAAUUUGUUGAUUUCAUGAUGUUCCAUUUUAAUCUAGAGAUAGUUUCAUAGAUAAAUGUGUGUUAAAUUUGGGUCAGACCUAACUCACCCCAAAAGCUAGCUCAAGGGGGAGGAGUGCCUAUGGCUCAUAUAACGGGCACAUUACCCCUUUCCACAACCGAUGUGAGAUUCAACACACCCCUUCACGCCCAGAAUUUUUUACUGGUGCGUGGCACAUUUAUGGGGCGCCCAACAUCGGAUGGAGAGGCUCUGAUACCAUGAAACUUUGAUGAAAGGAAGAAAAAGAGAGCAGAAGAUUUGAGAGAAAAUACUUGAUUAUUUCCCUUAAGCCAAUUGGGUUAUAUAUACUACUUACAAGAGUACACACUAAGUAAGAAAAUAAAUUAAUUUCCUAAUUAUAGUCUAAUCAUAUCUUAAUCAUAUCACACAAUCAUAUCCCUAAUUACCACUACAAAUCUAGGCAAUUUACAGAAAUAAUCUCAACAAUGUGAAAUAAACUUUUAUGAUAAGAACUUUGACAGCCACGUUUUUCUUGACGCUUACAAAGUAAAAAAGGUAAAAUAAUAGGGAAAAUAUUAUUUUGUUGCAAUUUUGUUGUGGAUGUUUUGCAUUUUUUUAAAACUAGGGUUGACCUAUGUAGGCAUGAGCAGCUGAGGCUUGCUCGAAUGUACUAAGUGUAAGCUGCAACCCUUCUUUUUAUUACGAAUGCCAGACCUGUUGCUUCAAGUCAGUGAAGAAUAUUCUCGACAUCAGAAUUCUUUUUCAGCCAUCACCUUAGGAACACAAAUUAUCAUGCACAUGAAAAUGAAGAUGACCCUGCAUAUGCAAUUAUGAGCCAAUGAUACCAAAAAUUCUUUCUUCAUUUAUCUAAAAAUUAAAUUAAGAGCUUUGUUCCAGAUUUUGUUGAGAUCCAUGGAAUAUAUUCCAUAUCUUUUUAUAUCUCCCUAUAAAAUCAAAUCGAAAUGCCACCUUUUGAACAAGUCUAUUGGGAAUAAUGUAUAGAUCAUAGGAUUAAAAUAGAAUGCUAGAAAUGUAGAUGAUAUGGGGUCUUGUGCCAUUUUAGAACUCCAACUAAGUUGAAGGCAAAGUUCUACAUAACUAAAAUUGAUAGGCUCUAACAUAGGAUGAGUAUUGCACGGUGAAGAAACAUGUCCACAAAAUGAGUUUUAAAUUGAUGAGGAUGAUGAGAUGGAAUUUACGGAUAUCACAUGGAACAAGACCCGGUUGACAAAGGACAAUGGAGCAACGCCCAUGCACCGAGAAACAACCACCGGAAGAUGUCUAUUCAGCUAUUGAAACACAGAGGUAGGGGUGAUCAUUCGGUCUGUUCGGUUUAAAACCGGACCGAAUAAACCGAAAAUCAAAAUUUUAAUAUUUAUGAAAAUCGAAUCGAAUCGAUUUUGCUCAGAAACCGAAUCAAACCGGACCGGUAUGAUUCGGUUCGGUUUGAUUGAUUCCAAUUUUUAAUACAUUUUUUAUUUUUUAUAUUUUAUUUUUAAUAUUUUAAAAUUUAAUUAAAAUAUUUUAAUCUUAAUAUGAUUUAGUUUCUCUAUAUUAUUAAAAAUAACAUAUUAUUAUCACUAAUCGGUUUGGUUUGAUUUUUUUGAUUUUUUCUGAUCAAAACCAAACCGAACCGAAAUAAUUGAAAUUUUUGAAAUUAAGAACUGAAUCGAACCGCAAUGAAUAAAAAAUCGAACUGAAUUUUUAAAUUAAUUCGGUUUGGUCGGUUUUUUCGGUUUGAACCGAAUACUGCUCGCCCUUACACAGAGAUAGAAGCAAUUGAGGUCUUGCAUGGAUCCAAACACUGCCUAAAUUCCACUUCCCCGACAAAAACAAACAUCCUCAUUGUAACUAAGCCUUCGGCGAUGCGGAAUCCAGAAUUAACUUGUAAUAAAAAAUUCUCUCACACAAUUUGACAAAUAAUGAGGUAAAGAUAUCUUGCAUAAAUUUGCUCUACUACACCCUUAAUCAACUAAUGUGAUUAGAAACGAAGAUAAUCAAGAGAUUCCAGCUAAAGAACGCUAUAAGAAAUUCUUGAUAAGUUAAUUAAGUGAAGAAUUUUUGGGAAGUUUAGAGUAUUUUUGUAUUUCACUCUUGAUCUUUACAAUUGUUUUGCAUGACUAUUUAUACAUAAAUAACCAAUGUGAUUAGAAACAAAGAUAAUCAAGCGAUUCUAACUAGAGAACGCCAUAAGAAAUUCUUGAUAAACUAAGUGAAAAAUUUUGGAGAAGUUUAGAGUAUUCUUGUAUUUCACUCUUGAUCUUUACAAUUGUUUUACAUAACUAUUUAUACACAAAGAAUUAUAUCUAAACAGGAAGUAAAUAAUCAAAUAAUAAUUACAAAGAUAAUUAAGGAUCCUAAUCAAUUCAAAUCAUAUCCCUAGAAUCAGCUAGAAUCAGCAAAUAAGUCAACACUCUCCCUCAAGUUGGUGCAAAGAUGUCGCACAUGCCCAACUUGCAAAUCAGAUUAUGGUAGUAAACACAUCCGCAAGUUGCCUAGUAGAAGUCACAUGAACUAAGUCCAAGAUACUGUUUGUUAAUUUUUAUUUGAUGAAGUGCCGAUCAAUCUCAAUGUAUUUCGUCUGGUCAUGUUGGACUGGAUUUUGUGCUAUAUUGAUAGCGGCUUUAUUGUCACAAUACAAAGUUAUCUUAUCUCUCUUGGCAACCUCAACUCCUCCAAUAACUUCUACAACCAUAAGAGUUCACACACACUUUGGGCCAUUGUUCUGUAUUCUGCUUUAGCACUUGACCGAGCAACAACACUUUGUUUUUUACUCCUCCAGUUGACAAGGUUCCUUCCUACAACUGUGCAAUAGCUAGAGAUAGAUCUCCUGUCAUCAAGAGAUCCUGCUCAAUCUGCAUCUGUAAAAGUUUCAACUCGGAGGUGACCAUGUUUGGAAUAAAGAAGCCCUUUCCCUGGCGCAGACUUUAGGUAUCUCAAGAUGUGAAGUACAGCCUGCAUAUGAGUCUCGUGAGGGUCAUGUAUGAAUUAGUUGACUAAGCUAACAGCAUAGGCUAUAUCCGGUCGAGUGCGUGAGAGAUAAAUUAACCUUCCUACCAAUCUCUAAUAUCUUCCAAUAUCCAUGGACUCACCAGUUCCUGCUUCCAGUUUGUGAUUACUUUCAAUGGGAGAUUCUGCUGGUUUACAUCCCAACAUAUCAGUUUCUUUCAAAAGAUCCAUAAUGUACUUUCUUUGUGAGAUGAAUAUUCUUUUUUCUGAUCUAGCCACCUCAAUACCUAGAAAAUAUUGUAGUUUUUCUCGAUUUUUGAUUUCAAAUUCUUGACCAACAACCUUUUUAGUUGAGCCGUUUCCUCUUUGUCAUCACCUGUUACUACUAUAUCAUCAACAUACACAAUAAGAAAGGUGAUCUUACCCUUGUGAUGUUUGAUAUAUAGAGUGUGAUCAGGAUUGCUCUGUUGGUAACCAAAGGACAUCAUGGCUCUACUAAACUUGUUAAACCAAGCUCUGGGAGAAUGUUUUAGCCCAUAUAAAGCCUUUUUUAACCUGCACACCUUUCUUUGUGUCUUCUCAUUAACGAACCCAGGAGUGAUUUCCAUGAAUACUUAUUUCUCUAAAUCUCCAUAGAGGAAAGCAUUCUUCACAUCAAACUGUUGCAAGUCCGAGUCCAAGUUGGUUGCGCAAGAUAAUAGGACUCUGAUUGAGUUCAUUUUUGCAACUGGGGCAAAUGUCUCUUGAUAAUCCACUCCAUAGGUUUGGGUGAAUCUUUUAGCAAUGAAUCUGAACUUAAACCGUUCAAUUGUACCAUCAGUUUUGUAUUUCACUGUGAACACCCACUUACAUCCAAUGAGUUUCUUUCUAAGUGGGAGAGUGACAAGCUCCCGAGUCUCAUUUUCAGCCGAUGCUUUUAUCUCUUCAAUUACCUUCUAUUUAGGAUCUGCAAGAGUUUUCUUUCAAUCAUGUGGAAUAGACACAGAGGAAAUAGGCAAGGUAAAGGGUCUAUAGGAGGGAGACAAGGAUUCAUAAGAAACAAAGUUAGAAAUAUGAUGUUUAGUACAAGAUCUGACCCAUUUUCUCUGUGUAAUAGGUUUAUCUAGGUCAUUGGAGCAUUAAAGAGUUGUGGGUAACUUACUAGAAGAAGAUUAUUGACUCUGAGUAGACUGCAUAAUGGCUUCUUCUGCCUUGUCUCUCCUUGAAUACCUCCUCAAAUCUGGCUUGUCCAAACAUCCAAUUCACUCCCCCUGAUUGGACAUCUCUCCUUGUCUACUAGAACUCAAACUCUCUAGCUGAACCAUAUCAUUCAGAAUCAGAAUUUGGGAUCACCUCUUCUUGCUUAUUAUUAUCCCCCUGAAGAGGUGAGUGGGUGGUACUGAAGUAGUGUUCAGUUUCUCGGAAGGUAACAUCCAUACUGACAAAGUAUUUCCUAAAUGGAGGAUAAUAACACCUAUAUCCCUUCUGUCUCGGAAAAUAACCAACAAACACACAUUUAAGGGUCUUGGGGUCCAACUUCCUUACCGUCUUAGCAUGGACAAAGCAAACACAUCCAAAUACUUUUGGUGGUGUUAUAAGUAAUAGAAAGUAAAUAUGUUAAUAUAGGAAGUAAAUAUUGAUAGAUGGGUCAGUUGCUUAAUCUUAGGGAUUGUAUAAUCAUAGGCUUGAUUUUCCUUCCUGUUUAGUUACUGUCUCUCAUGUAUAAAUAGGUUGUAAUCUCUAUUGUGAUAUACAACAAAUAUUAUCUUUCUACAUGGUAUCAGAGCCUUUCUCGUAGAGAUUUUUUUUCUCUUUUCUCUCUCGUAAAGUUUUAAAAUUUUUUUGGAGACUUAGGGCUCCGUUCAUUUGGGUCAUCUAUAAAGUGUAACAUUUGGAUCUCACCAUCACUGGAGUCGCCACACCGACCCCUUGUCAGAUUUGAGGUUUGUUUGCCGUUCGGGUGUUCGGGUGUUGGGUGGAGGUAUUUUAUUUGGUACUGUUUAUCGGUACUGUUCACGGGCACUGUUCACUGAUACUGUUCAUCGGCACUGUUCAUGUGGUACUGUUCAUGCCGGGUACUGUUUUCUGAUUCUGUGUUUCUUUUGUUGCUAUCGUUUUGGGUUGGUUGUCCUUAUGGCUGAAGUUAAAACCACCACCGUAACUGAUGUGAUUCCUAUGAUGACUAAAAUCACGGAACACAAAUUGAAUGGAUCUUCUGAUCAAGGAAUUUUGAUAUCUGCAGAUGAGUAUGCACAAUUCAUCCAAUACCAGGCAUCUAUAAAAUCCUCUAAUUCAUCCUCUAUCACUGCAAUUGCCAAGUCAGGUAACUCUACUGCAUGUCUUGUGUCUUCAUCCUUCAAAUGGGUUAUUGAUUCUGGUGCUACCGAUCAUAUGUCAGGUAAUUCUACCCUUUUGUCCAAUCUUGAGUCUCAUACAUCGCCUUCUUAUGUUACUCUUGCUGAUGGCACUAAAUCGUCUGUCAUGGAUUCUGGUCAUGUCAACUUAACCCCUUCUCUUACCACAGAAGACAGUGAGCCAUUUGCAAAUCCUGGAAGGUAUAGAAGAUUAGUUGGCAAGCUGAAUUAUUUGACGGUGACUUGUCCUGAUAUUGCAUAUUCAGUGAGUGUGGUAAGUCAGUUUAUGUCUUCUCCUACUGUUGCCCAGUGGGAUGCUCUGGGACAGAUUCUUUGUUACUUUAAAGGGGCCCCAGGGCGAGGCCUAUUCUAUGGUAACCAUGGGCACUCAAAUAUUGAAUGCUUUUGUGAUGCUGAUUGGGCAGGCUCGAAAGUUGAUAGGAGGUCAAUUACUAGGUAUUGUGUUUUUGUGGGAAGUAACUUGGUCUCAUGGAAAAGUAAGAAGCAAAAUGUGGUCUUCUGUUCUAGUGCUGAAUCUGAAUACCGAGCUAUGGCACAAGCCGUGUGUGAAAUCUUGUGGGUACGUCAACUGUUGGAAGAAGUUGGGUUCACAAAUUCGGUGCCUGCUAAGUUGUGGUGUGAUAAUCAAGCAGCUAUCCACAUUGCCUCCAAUCCAGUAUUUCAUAAGAGGACUAAACACAUCGAGAUUGAUUGUCAUUUUGUUCGUGAAAAGGUCCAACAAAAGAUAAUAUCAACAUGACAUAUCCGAACUGGAGAACAAUUAGGAGAUAUUUUCAUUAAAGCUCUAAAUGGGACUCGAGUUGAUUAUAUAUGUAACAAGUUGGGCAUGAUUAACAUUUAUGAUCCAACUUGAGGGGGAGUGUUAUAAGUUAUAGAAAGUAAAUAUGUUAAUAUAGGAAGUAAAUAUUGAUAGAUGGGUCAGUUGCUUAAUCUUAGGGAUUGUAUAAUCAUAGGCUUGAUUUUCCUUCCUGUUUAGUUACUGUCUCUCAUGUAUAAUAGAUUGUAAUCUCUAUUGUGAUAUACAACAAAUAUUAUCUUUCUACAGGUGGAACAAUGUAUAAAUUCUUCCCUAGUAGAAUCUCCAAAGGACUCAUAAAGUCAAGGGCCUUGAGACUGCAUCCCCCCAAUAUAUUUUGGGUAGAUUGAUGGUAAACAUAAGAGAUCAAGCUACCUCUAAUAGAUGCCUGUUUUUCCUUUCAGCAACGCCAUUUUGAGCACUAGUAUAAGGACAACUAGUCGGUGUACUAUCCUAUUAUUCUCCAAAUAAUAAAAAAAACUACUAUCCAUGUAUUAUCUUCCACUGUCAGUUCUUAAAAUUUUCACCUUAGUAUCAAAUUGAGUACAAAUCAUCUUAUGAAAAAAUUGAAAACAAAAAAAGACAUCACUUUUAGCUUUAAUCAAAUAGACCCAAGUCAUUCGAGUACAACAAUCAAUAAAGGCGACAAAUCAUCGAUUACCAGAUAAGAAGUCAGUUUGAGUAGGCCUUCAAACAUUAGAAUAAAUAGUCACAAAAGGAAUUUAGCUUUUAUUAUGACUCAAAGAAUAUGAGGUUCUAGUGUGCUUAGAAUACUCGUACGCAUCACAAAAUAGGGAACCAAACUGAGUUCUAGCAAAUAAAUUAGGAUAAAUUUUUCUAAGACAAAAAAUGAUGGAUGCCCUAACUGCCUGUGACACUGUAUUCUUUCCUGAUUGACAUCCUUAUUUUCUUCAAAACAGACUUAGAGAUAUCGGAGAACUUGGAUUAUGUAUAAGCCAUUAGCCUACCAUUGCCAAUCCUCAUCCCUGUACAAAGAUCCUGAUGAUUAGGAAAGAAUUCAAUUUUACAGUUAAGAGUAUUGGUGAUAGCAUUGACAAAUAAAAGGUUGACAGGAAAGCAGGGAACAUGAAGGACAGAUGAUAAUUUAAUAUUGGAUAUACAAAUAACAGAACAUAUUCUGGAUAUGGAAGUAAAAGAGCCAUCAGCAAUUAUGACACUAUCUUUGGUUAGAAAAGGAAAAUAAUUGAGAAAUCUUUUAGAAGAGUCUGCCAUGUAUCUAUUCGCAUCAGAAUCAAUAAUCCAUCCAUAGAACAUUAUCAAGAGAGGAAGCAUUACUAGAUUUAAAAAAAUUAGAUGUGGCACCGGAGGAUAAAGAGGUGUCAAUAUGAGACAAGAGGCGCUUGAGACUCUGAAUUUCAUUAAGAGAAAGGAACUCAGUCACUGUUGUCUCCUUAAGGGGCUCCUCCAUAGUAUCUGCUAAAUUAGCGUGAGUUUUGGAGGUACCUCGUUUCCCCCCACGGCCUCUAGUGGGACGACUAUAUAACUUCCAAUAAGUCUCCUUGGUAUGCAUCGGUUUCCCACAAUAGUCACAGUGUAGGUGAUCUUUCUUAGAAUUAGGAGGUUGCAGUGUGCUCAAACUAGUAGUCAACUCAGCCUUUUCAACUGGUGUAGUAUAGAGCAUAGCAUAUCGAUGACUUUCCUCUUGUUGAACAUAGGCGUGGGUCUUUUCUAGAGAAGAAAAAAGAUUUUUUUUUCCAACACUUAGACCCGAAUUGGAUCAUAGAACAUUAUCAAGAGAGGAAGCAUUACUAGAUUUUAAAAAACUAGAUGUGGCAUUGGAGGAUAAAGAGGUGUCACUAUGAGACAAGAGGCGCUUGAGACUCUGAAUUUCAUUAAGGGAUAGGAACUCAGUCAAUGUUGUCUCCUUAAGGGGGCUCUUCCAUAGUAUUUGCUAAAUUAGCGUGAGUUGUGGAGGUACAUUGUUUCCCCCACGGCCUUUUGUGGGACGGUCAUGUAACUUCCGAUAAGUCUCCUUGGUAUGUCUCGAUUUUCCACAAUAGUCACAGUGUAAGUGAUCUUUCUUAGAAUUAGGAGGUUGCAGUGUGCUCAAACUAGUACUCAACCCAGCCUUUUCAACUGGUGUAGUAUAGAGCAUAGCAUGUCGACGACUUUCCUCUUGUUGAACAUGGGCGUGGGCCUCUUCUAGAGAAGGAAAAAGAUGUUUUUUCAACACUUGGACCCGAAUUGGAUCAUAGAACAUUAUCAAGAGAGGAAACAUUACCAGAUUUUAAAAAAAUAGAUGUGGCACCGGAGGAUAAAGAGGUGUCAAUAUGAGACAAGAGGCGCUUGAGACUCUGAAUUUCAUUAAGGGAAAGGAACUCAGUUACUGUUGUCUACUUAAGGGACUCUUCCAUAGUAUCUGCUAAAUUAGCGUGAGUUAUGAAGGUACUGUGUUUUCCCCUACGGCCUCUAGUGGGACGACCAUGUAACUUCCAAUAAGUCUCCUUGGUAUGCCUCGGUUUUUCACAAUAGUCACAGUAUAGGUGAUCUUUCUCAGAAUUAGGAGUUGCAGUGUGCUUAAACUAGUAGUCAACCCAGCCUUUUCAACUGUUGUAGUAUAGAGCAUAGCAUGUCGACGACUUUCUUCUUAUUGAACAUGGGCGUGGGCCUCUUCUAGAGAAGGAAAAUGAUUUUUUCCCAACACUUAGACUGGAAUUGAAUCAUAUUCUUUAUUCAAUCCUGCAAGAAAAUCAUAGACGUGCUCAUUUUCAAUCAUUCUCCUAAAUUUGACUGCAUCUCUAGUGCAGUCUGCUUGGAAGUCUUGAUAGUAAUCAAGUUCCUGUCAUUAGCCACAUAACUCAGAAUAAAAUUGAGAGAUAGUCAUUUCUCUUUGCUUAGUACCAUGGAUCUUAUUCCAAAUAUCAUAAAUUUUGGCAUCAAUUCUAAUCUUGGAAUAAGUUAAGGACAAGGCUUCUAUAUUUGUGCAGCAGUAUCAAUUAAUAAAUAAGACUUAGAGAUAUGAGGUUGCAUAGAGUUAAGUAACCAUGUGAUAACAAGACAAUUAUCGAAGUCCCAUACCUUUCCAGUUUUUCCACCAAGGUCAUACUAGCAAUAUUAGUACAACUCUCACUAUCAAUAAUCAUUACACAUACCUUCCCACCUAUAAGGCAUGGCAUGUGGAAGAUAUUUUUUCGUUGCUCCAAACCAUCUUCUUUUACUUGCAUGUUCAAUGCACGCCCGACAACAAGUGACUCACCUUGCACAAUAUACUCAAUGUUUUCUUCAUCAGACCAAUCUUCUAAAGAAGACAUGUUGUCACUGUCAAAUUCUAAUUCAGAGAUAAUUUCACUAUUGUCUAGCAAAAAUCUAGUCUUGCUAUUGGGACAUUGAGAUGCAAUAUGUCCCAUUUUUAAGCACUUGAUGUUGCGAUUCUUGCUAGGAGAAGAUGGUAUUUCAGUUGUAGCUUUGGAAGUAGUGUUUUGCGACUUACUAUUGAAAUUCUUGUCUUUGCUUUCAGAAACUCUCCUUGCCCGUUUCAUCUUUCUUGGACCAUUUUGAAGUUCAAGUGUUGUUUUGGAAUGUUUUGGCACCACCCUUCUCUUUCAGCUGCUUCUCUAUCUUCAUCGCCAUACUCACCAUAUCAUCAAGUUCUACAUAAUAGUAUAGUUUGAUGAUGUUGGCGAUCUCUUUGUUAAGCCCAUUCAAAAAUCUAACCAUGAUUGCUUUUUAGUCCUCUUCCACUCUAGCCCUCAUUAUUGCAAUUUCUAUUUCCUAUGGAUUAUUCAACAAACAUGGAACCUUGUGUCAACCUUUGCAACUUUUGGUGUAGCUUGCGAUAGUAAUAGGAUAGAAUAAACCACUUUCGCAUGAUAUACUUCAUCUCUUUCCAAGUUGCUAUUGACCCUUCUUGAUUUCUACACCUGGCUAAAAGUAAUUGAUGCCACCAAACUAAUGCAUAGUCAGUAAAUUCAACAGUAGCUAAUUUUACCUUUUUCUCUUCAGAGUAGUUGUAGCACUCAAAAAUUAGCUUCACCUUUUCUAUUUAAGAUAAGGUUCAACAUCAUUUCGUUCAUCUUGAUGCAAUUGAUGUUGCUAUCUUUCCUUUUAGUUCUCUCCUCCCUCCUUUGCCUCCUCAUGGACUGUGCGUCCUCUUCAUGUUCGAAAGUUAAAUCACCUACUUCUUCAAGAAGGGGUUUGUUUUGUCUAUUUCCUCUAUUACCUGUGUUCCUGGUGUUGUUGACGGUAGUUUGCCGCAACUCUUUAAUCUUCAUCGUUUGUCUUUUAAUGUUGUCGUGGUACUCAUUUAGCACUAUAUAGAGGCAUUGGAAUUGAUCGGCGACUGCCUUGUUAUAGAAAUUUUCAGCUUGCUCAACGUCUUUAUAUUUUUUUUAUCAUCAUGGAAUUUGAUUUUAAACAAACAAGAAAAUAAAAAGAAAUUGGACCUCACGCGCUCCCUUGCGUGUUUCUCUUGAAAAAUUGUUUUACUCAUGUUUCGCUCACAAGUUGGCUUUUACUCUCUUAAAAACUCAUCACUCAAGUCUGUUACCUCUCUAUGUUCAACUUAAGAGUGUUGCACCUUAGAACCAACACAUAACACAAGAUUAAUAAGAUUGCAAUAAUAGAAAUUAAACAAUGAUAUUUUGAACAAUAAAAAAAGUAUAAAAGCAAAAUCUAGAGGCAAAAACACACAAUAAAAUAUUAGUACAAGAUAGCAAUGAAUAUGUUAAUGAUGCAAUUUAAUGAGUAAUAUGCAGCAAUUAUGUUACCCUUUGUGCAUAGAAUGCCAACAAAGGAAACAAAAUAAAACAAAGAUGACAUAUUAAGAGAAAAUGCUAAUACAAAAACACACUUCCCUAAUAGAAGCCGAAUUGAACUUAAACUUGUUAAUUUGGGUCAGGCCUAACUCACCCCAAAAGCUAGCUCAAGGUGAGGUUUAUCUAUGACCCAUAUAAGGGGCACAUUAUCCCUUUCCACAACCGAUAUGGGAUUCAACACACCCCUUCACGCCCAGAAUUUUUUACUGGUGCAUGAUAUAUUUAUGGGAGGCCCAACAUCGGUGGGAAGGCUCUGAUACCAUGUUAAUUUGGGCCAGGCCUAACUCACCCCAAAAGCUAUAUUCAACACACCCCUUCACGCCCAUAAUUUUUUACUGGUGCGUGACAUAUUUAUGGGAGGCCCAACAUCGGUGGGAAGGCUCUGAUACCAUGUUAAUUUGGGCCAGGCCUAACUCACCCCAAAAGUUAGCUCAAGGGGGAGGUUUAUCUAUGAUCCAUAUAAGGGGGCAUAUUACCCCUUUCCACAAUCGAUGUGGGAUUCAACAAAACUAAUAUUCAAUGUUUGAAAGCUCUAAACUAGCAAAAACACACAAAAAUAAAAACUUCAGGCAUGUAAUAAUUCUAGAACCUCAAACCAAAAGUUUCAAUCAAGGUAUAUGUCAAACAUGUUACAAAGUUGCUUUUUUUUUUUUCUUUCAACCUCAAAAAUGAAAUUUCAAGAAGUAAUUUUUUUUUGGCGAAUUUUCUAGAUAUGAUUUUUUUAUUUUAUUUUAUUUUAUUUACUAAAACUUGUGAUAGGACAAAAUUGAGAAGCAAACAUAGCAAAAUGAAUCGAUAACAAGCUAUCAAAAUAAGAAAACAAAUUAACAGUAACUAUAACUAUGUAAUUAAAAAAAAAAGGAUAAAUAUAAGGAAUUAAGGAUAGAUAAGUUGGAAUUUAUCUAUGAUCUAGGCUUUGAUACCAAUUAAUGCGAAACCUAGGAUCAACUCGUGAUUCAAAAUUCCAUCACAAAACUUGACAAAGAAUGAGCUAAAAAUAUCUUCCAUAAGAUUGCUCUACCACACUCCUAAUCAACCAAUGUAAUUAAAAACGAAGAUAAUCAAGCGAUUCCCAGCUAGAGACCGCUACAAGAAAUUCUUCAUGAGUUAACUAAGCAUGGAGAAAAUUCAUAUAAAAUGCCAUAACAUUGAACUUUGAUAAGUUGUUAUACAUGGAGGCACAAAGUAUUAACCAUUUUGCAAUGGAAAACAUAAAUUCUCGUUAUGGAGAUAAAUAUCAAAUCCUUGCUUAACUUUCUACAUACAAAAUAAAAGCUAUUUAUAGCCAAAUAUCUCUUAAUCCUAGUUGAAAUAGGAAAACAAAACAAAUUCUAAUUGAAAUAGGAAAAUAAGACAAAUUCUCAUUAAAAUAGAAAAAUAUAAGAUAAUUCUAUUUGAAUAAGAAAAAUUAUAUCUAAUUCUACUAAUUUAACUCUUAAUCUAUACAGGAUUAUAAAAGACACCAAAACACACUAAAAUAUUUCAUAUAUGAGCUCCCAAAAUUGAAUUAAUUAUGACUGAAAUUGGAUCUAUAAAUUUUUAAAAAAUAAGCCAAUUUAUUUUUCGUCUUCCAAAUGUGGUAUUCAACAUGAAUAAUUUGAAUUCUCCUUGAGUCCUGAUGAUUUAUUACUUCCUAGUUGAAUGCUCGACGAAUAUCACAAUAGUUUUGCGCUUCAAGUUGUUGAAAAGUAUUGCCCCUUAUGCAUGCAUCAUCCAGCCAGAGAGGAGAAGCGGCAAAAGUCGUAGGUGGAGGGGCUCAUCGAUGACUCUCUCGCGCCUUAUGGGUGGCAAUCUUCGGCUCUCUCCAGUGAGAUUCCACACAUAUUCCACUGUCAAAAGAACCUUUGACAUUACAGAUCUACAAAACAAGCACCUAGAAAAAUGACGAUCACCGGUGCCUGUCCAAAAGAUCAUCCAUGCACUUCAAGGCUCGGAAGAAAAGGAAGAAACAACCACAAGAACCCUAAAAACACAAAAGCUAACUAAACUAGAAAACUGAAAAGACACGGGCAACUCCAAGAGAAACACCCUCACAGGUAAAGCGCUGGCUGCCAAAACAACAAGAUAAAAGGAUAUUCACAACCCAACCCGGCGGUGGGGAGGGGAACCCAUAGCUAGACUAGGUUAGGAGCCUCUCCUCCCUAUUGGGGCAGUAGAGGCCAUGUAAAGCAGCGGAAAAAGAGGGUUUUGGAACCCUAGAAGGACACUAAUAGAGAGAAAAAUCUCUCUCUACCCACAAAGUGAGAGAAGAAAACCUCUGAUUGAUUGGACAAGGAAUGAGAGAAUGAGUGCAUCUCUGAAAACAUGAAAGUGGCAUCCACAAACAAUACUAUGAAAUGGGUGAUUAUAAUGGUUUUAACUUGCUUGUCAUAGAGUAGUUGAUGCACCAUGAUAGAAAGUCCCACCGUGAUAGAAAGUCCAGCGUACCAAAAUUAGAAAAGUAAUGUGAAUGAAAUGGAGGAGCAUGGUCUUAGUUUGAGCUGCUGAUGAUCAUCUGCAACUGCAAUCGAUUGCCUUUUUCUUUUAAACUGGUAGUUUGUCAAUUCCUGACCGAAGUCAUUCUAUAUACAAUCUCCAUCUUUUCACCUACCAAUUAUCUUCUUAUGAUCUCGAGUUUUACAUGUGGAGUCCUUUUACAUUUCUUGUUCAUUCGAGAAUAGCUUGGUGAAAUAUAUUGGACGUCCAGAUAAUUUGCUCGCAAAAUGAUUUUCAUGUUGAACUCUUACUAUUGGAGUUUUCAGAGGCCAUCCUUUCAAAAGACUCUGCUGGCUGCGUUAUUUCUUGGAUUGAAUUACCUUGCUCAGCUGUUUGGCUGUAAAAUAUGCUUUCCAUGGACAUGUAUAUAUUUUUUAUUAUUAUUUUGUUGAUGUUCAGGUGGUUUCAUGUGGAAGCCAUUCAAUGCUGCGCAGCAAAAUUGUUUGUUGAUAUUCUAGUAAUUUUACUUGAUCAUGAUUCUUUUUUACUUGAUUUUUCAGCUUGUAAAUCCAAACAACAAGGACAUUCAAGACAUUCCAGGAUUAGCCCCUCCUGCUCAGAGUCGCAGAUUACUUUGGUUUCCUAAUUAAGAAGCAAAGUUGCCAAAGGAUCACCUCAUGAGCUACUUGGGAUAAUUCAUACAAUAUGACGGAAACGGAGGAUGGAUCCAGCAUUGCACGAAAACCUUGGUGGAGUAACUGGUGUGUUUUUUCUGUAAAAGAAAUGAUCUCCAAUUGAGGGAAACCUAACAAAAAAAUAUAUUUAUUUUGAGUGUUUUGGUUCAUACUAUGUAUGCCCUUUUAUGUUUUUUUUUUUUUUUUUUCGAGCUUCAUAAUAUUUUCAUUGAUUCAUUUGAACUGACGAGUUUAAUCUUAAGUGGAAUUAUAAACUUCCGAAAAAUGCAGAAUUUUUGUUUGCUAAAAUCAGCGGGGAUGCUUUUCUUUUCCAAACAAUUCUUCUGAAAGAUUAUACACUUGGGAAACACAAGAAAUAAAUUUGGGAAGGCCUUGAAACAUGUCCAGGUGUGACUUCAAUUGAUUAUGAAAAAUAAAUAAUAGAACUCCAGAGGUUUGUCUCAAAUUAUAUUUUGUUAUCUGUUAUAAAAUUGACAGCAGUUUGUUCCGUUUUUAUAUUAUUUUUAAAUGAAUUGCAGCUUCGGUAUAUUAGUUGCUUUAGUAAUAAGUGUAAUAGUUAGUCAACUCUUAAAUAUUAAACAUUAAUUUUAAAAUUCAAAUUAGGCCUAAUUGCAUGAAAAAUUUUAAAAGUUGAUAAAAUUAUUUAAAAUCGCUAACUUUAUUGUAACUAUAUAAACAUAAAUUGAUGAGCGCGUGUCUUGUUGACAUAGUAUGACAAGUAUAAAACAUAGUCCUUAUAAUGAUUUUGCAUGACAUGGUAUAUUAUAUGACAAGUAUAAAAUAUAAAACGGGUGAUUAUAAUGGUUUUAACUUGCUUGUCAUAGACUAGUUGAUGCAAAUUUUUAAUUAAACAUGGUUUUAACUUGCUUGACAUAGUAUUCAACAUAAUGGUUCUAACUUGUAAUUAUAUUUACAUGCUAGGUAUAUAAAUGCUAUUGAUAAAAAAAUUUAAAAUUUUUAGGUAUUUUAUAAUUUAAUUCAAAAUUUUAAAAAUUGAUAUAAUUCGACUUAAAAUUUUUAAAUUUAUUUGUUUUUCUCUGUUUGGCUUGAUACAAAAAAUGAUAACCUUAAUUUUUUUCUAUUUAUCACUAGUUCUAAUAAAAAUUGCAACAUAUCGUAUAUUUAUUUAUUUUUUAUUUUUUAAAUAUAUUAUGUUUGUCCAUCAUAAUAAAUUUCACUUAUUUAUUAUAAAAAAUCAUGUUAAUAUAAUAAAAAAUAGAAGUUAUAGUUUUAAUAUUUACUGUUGUGUUAUUAAUAUUCUCUUAUAAUUUAAUAGUAUAAAUUAGCACUUAAAGGUAUAAACAGAGAUAUUAUAUUAAGAGUAGAUAUGAUUAAAAUCCAAAAGAAUUAAAGAGAAUCAUAAUUAAAAAAUAGAAAGAUAGAAUGAAAUAUAAUAAUAAGAUCCUAUAAAUUUAGCAAUAAAAAAUGAUAAAUUAGGAAUUUUGAGUUGAAUCACAUCAAUUUGUAUUAAUUGAUAUACUUAAAUUUAGAUAUACUUAUAAUAAAGUUUUUAAUUUUAGAUAAUUUUAUUAAUUUUUUGAAGUUUUGGAUGAAAGUAUAAAAUAGCAAAAAUUUUUAAUUUUUAAUUUUUAAUUUUUCAUGUAAAUAGCCCUUAAAAUUAUUGUUGAAUAUAACUUAUGUAUUAUCUACGCUCAAUAACAAUAUUUAUAAAUUAAUUUUCAUGUAUAACUUUUAAAAAGUUCCCAUACUAAUAAAUUAAUCAAUCUUAAAGUAAUAAGUCUUUCUAAACUUAAUGAAGCAUUUAGUCACUUAGUAACUAAAGUUCUCGAAGCAUUUCUAUCCAUUUAGUGUGUGCUUAGUUUUUAAAUUACGUUUUGUAGUAAUUGACAAUAAUGGUAACGAUAAAAGAGAUUCAUAUUAUUUUUAACUUGAAUAUUAUCUAUAGCAUGUAUUGAUUAAUUUAAUUAUUAACUAGAUUUAAAAAUUAAUAGAGUUGUAUUCUUUGGAUAUAAAUGGAAAAUCAGUGUCUCUAAUUGAAUUAUCAUAAUAUAAUUAUAGAUUUAUUAUUUGUCUCCUUUUAGUAGUGUAUUAUUUUUAUCAUAACAAACUAAAAAUAUAGUACUAUAGAUUAUGUUAGGUUCACUCACCGGUUCUAAUAUCAAUGUAAGACUAUUAAUUUCAAGUUAAAUAUCAGUAAAUUAAAUGAGAUUUAAUAUUUUUACUCUAUUAUAUAACAUUUAAUCACCUAAUAUAAAUAAAUUAUAAUUACUUAUAAGAUAGAAAAAAUAACUUAUGUUCACCCUUUUACAGAUUAUGAUGCGAACAUGGGAGAUAAGUACGUGAACAAUGGAAUGGGCGUAAAUAUUACAUUAUCUCUUAGACCAAUAACAAGAGCACGCACAAAGAAAAUUAAAGUAUCGCUUCAACACUUACCACAACAAAGAAAAUCAAAGUAUCGUUUCAACACUUACCACAACAAGUUGUUCGUGAAGGAAUGAAUGCAUGCGAUGAAAAGUCCAAGUUCGCAACAUAUGAAAAUCCACGAGAUAAAGUGUUCAUGAAUAUGAUUAAAGCAAAGGAGUAAUGGAGCUAGAAAAAGAAGCCACAUGGGCUAGUUGCAACACACUUAUGGCCAUAUAGCGUGUUGGGUCCUAAUUGUACUUAAGUCUAUUUUGUUAUUUUAUUAUUUUAAUAUUUUAGUAGACUUAUUUCAAGUUAAAUAGGCCCAACUUAGGUGGCUAAUUUCGUACAACCCAUAAGGAAAAAAAAGUUCUCUCAGUCCAACUAUGAAAAUAAUUUUUAUUGAAAUCUUUGUUGAGAAAGGUUUGAUUGUUUAACUAAGAAUCCUUCCUACAUUAAAAAUAAUCCUUUUACCACUAGGAUUACGGUUUUAGAAGGUUAUAAAAAUCCCUCUAAGUGGUAGUCAUGAAUUUCAAAUCUUAUUUUAUGAACAAUAUUAUUUUCUUUAGUUAAUAAAAUUUUAGAAAGAAUUUAGUUUAACUUUGUGUUGGAUUAAGAAUUGGCAUCUUAUCAAGGUUAGUAAUUUCAUGGCGAUUCUAUUUUUGUUUCCUUGUUUGAUUAUCUACGUUAUUGUUUAUUCAUUAUUCAAGGGUGUAAUAGAAUGCUUAGAAAUUAAUCUUGGCGUGUGACUUGAUAUUAUUGUGUAUUGGGGUUUUAGAUUGCAUUAUUAAUAUAAAGUUCCACAUCAAUCGGUAUCAGAGCAUAGGUCAUGGAUAAAUUCAAAUUUAUCUAUCCUUAUAGUUAUCUUGUUCAAUUUUAAUUACAUAGUUAUAGUUGUUGUUAAUUCUUUUUCUUAUUUUGGUAGCUUGUUAUCGUUUCGUUUUGCUAUGUUUGCUUCUCAAUUUUAUGUUAUUACAAGUUUUAGUAAAAAAAAGAAUUCAAAUCUGAAAAAUUCACAAAAAAUAAUUACUUCUUGAAAUUUGGUUUUGGAGGUUGAAAGCAAGAAAAAGAGCAAUUUUACAAUCUGUUUGAUAUAUACAUUGAUUGAAACUUUUGGUUUGAGGUUCUAGAAUUAUUAUACGCCUAAAGUUUUUAUUUUUGUAUGGUUUUUGCUAGUUUAGAGCUUUUGAACAUUGAAUAUUACUUUAAAUUCAGUUUCGGCUUCUAUUAGGGGAGUGCAAAAUUGGUUUUAUUUUCGUAUUAGCGUUUUCUUUUAAUCGUUGUCAUCUUUAUUUCAUUUUGUUUCCUGGCAUCCUAUAUACAUAGACGACAUAGUUGCUGCAUGUUAUUCAUUAAAUUGCAUGAUUAGCAUAUUUAUUGCCAUCUUGUGCUAAUAUUUUUAUUGUAUGUGUUUUUACCUCUAGAUUUUGCUUUUUCGUUCCUUUAUUGUUUAGGAUAUCGUUGUUUAAUUUCUCUAUUAUUAAUCUCGUAUUGUGUUGGUUCCAAGGUGCAACGCUCUUAAGUUGAACAUAGAGAGAUAAAAGGCUUGAGUGAUGAAUUUCUAAGAGAGUAAAAACCAACUUGUGAGCGAAACACGAGAGUGAAAUAACUUUUCAAGGGAAACACGUGAGGGAGCAUAUGAGGUCUAAUUUCUUUUUAUUUUCUUGUUUGUUUAAAAUUAAAUUAUAGGAUGGCAAGAAAAGAUAAAGACGUUGAGCAAAUUGAAAAUUUCUACAACAAAGUGGUCGCCAAUCAAUUUGAACACCUCUAUGUGGUGCUAAAUGAGUAUCACAACAACAUGGAAGGCAAGCGAGGCAAAUUGAAGAGUUGUGACAAGCUAGUGUCAACAACACUAGGAACACUGGUAAUAGAGGAAAUAGACAAAAAAGACCCUCUUUUGAAGUAGGUAAUUCAACUUCUGAACAUAAAGAGGACGCACAGUCCAUGAGAAGGAGGCAAAAGGAAGCAGGAGAGAAUUGAAAGGAAAUAUAGCAACAUCAAUUCCAUCAAGAUGAAGAUUCCUCAAUUCAAGGGACGAAAUGAUGCUGAAGCUUAUCUUAAAUGGGAAAGGGAGGUGGAGCUAAUUUUUAAAUGCCACAACUAUUCUGAAGAGAAAAAGGUAAAAUUAGCUGUUGUUAAAUUUACUGACUAUGCAUUGGUUUAGUGGGAUCAAUUACUUUUAGUUAGGCGUAGAAAUCAAGAAGGGCCAAUAGUAACUUGGGAAGAGAUGAAGCACGUCAUGCGAAAGUGGUUUUUUCCAUCCUAUUACUAUCGCGAGUUAUACCAAAAGUUAUAAAGGUUGACAUAAGGUUCCAUAUUUGUUGAAGAUUACCAUAAGGAGAUGGAAAUUGCAAUGAUGAGGGCUAAUGUGGAAGUGGACUGAGAAGCAACCAUGGUUAGAUUUUUAAAUGGGCUUAAUAAAAAGAUCACCAACAUCAUUGAAUUACACCAUUAUGUAAAACUUGAUGAUAUGAUGAGUGUGGCGAUGAAGAAGCAGCUGAAAGGGAAGGGUGGUGCCAAAACAUUUCAAAAUAACACUUGGACUUCAAAAUGGUCCAAGAAAGAGAAAAAUGGCAAGGAGAAAGUUUCUAAAAGCAAAGACAUAAUUUCAAUAGUAGGUCGCAAAGCACUACUUCCAAAGCUACAAUUAAAACACCAUCUUCUUCUAGCAAGCAUCACAACAUUAAGUGUUUCAAGUGCUUGGGAAUGGGAGACAUUGCAUCUCAAUGUCCCCAUAGCAAGACUAUACUUUUACUAGACAAUGGUAAAAUGAUCUUUGAGUCAGAAUCUGAUAGUGACAAUAUGUUUUCUAUAAAAGAUUAUUUUGAGGAAGAAAACAUUGAGUAUGCUGUGCAAGGUGAGUCACUUGUUGCUAGGCGUGCAUUGAACAUGCAAGUAAAAGAAGAAGGUUUAGAGCAAUGAGAAAAUAUCUUCCACAUGCUAUGCCUCAUAGGUGGGAAGGUAUGUGUAAUGAUUAUUGAUAAUGGGAGUUGUACUAAUGUUGCUAGAUUGCUUGGUGGAAAAACUAGGCUUAAAGUAUGAAAAGUAUCCCAAGCCAUAUGGACUAUAAUGGAUAAAGAAAGUAGGAAAGUUAAAAUCACAAAGCAAGUUAUUGUGUCUUUCUCCAUAGGUCGAUAUGUUGAUGAGGUAAAAUGCGACAUAGUUCCAAUUGAAGUUGGUCAUCUUUUCCUUAGGAGACCAUGGCAUUUUGAUCAAAAAGUGUCACAUAAUGGAUAUCGUAAUCGGUAUUCUUUCCUCUUAAAUGGGAAAAACUACACUUUUGCACCCUUAACUCCUACUGAAGUCUAUAAAGACCAACUCAAGAUGAUAAAAUCUCAAUAUGGGGCUUCGAGAUGUGAGGAGAAAAGAAAAGAGAGUAAAGAGGUCGUGAUCGAAAAGAAUAAACAAAAAGGCCCAAAAGUGAUUAAUUGUGCAAAAAAAGAAUUGAGCACAAAAGAGAGUACUCUGGGGAGUGAAAUUAAGGCGAGUUUCUUUGCAAAAGAAAGAGAGUUAAAAAGAGCUUAUGUUGGUCGUAAAUCAUUAGUGUUAAUUAGGCAUAAAGAAAAUUGUUUUCUAAUGUUGACAUUGAUCCAAAUUUGCCUAAUGUGUUUGUUUCACUUUUGCAUGAAUUCAAAGAUGUGUUCCCUGAAGAGAUGCCUGCAGGAUUGCAUUGAAAGGCAUUGAGUGUAAUACCCGGCUAGACUCCGACGUCAAAAUUUCAAUCUUCCGACGGAAUCUCCAUUGGAACCCGGAAUCUCGAAGCUGGAAUCUCCUUAGGAAGGGUAAAAUAAAGUUUUUAUAAAAUGAAUUUGAAAAUUUUAAGGUUUUAAGAAAGAAAGAAAAGAGUUUUGAAGAAAAUAUUUUUGAGGGGAAAAACCAGGUUCGGCCGCUGAACAUGGUGCUACCACGGGACCUCUUCUUUCAGCCCCCGAAGGUGGUUUUGUCCAGCCACCUAUAAGAUGCCCUAAGCCCGAAGAUGGGGGAGUUUUCUCCCCAUUUUCGGACAAAGGUGAGUCCUUGCCCUUCCUUUGGUGAUUUUGUUGUUUUUUCCUUCAAAUCCCUUAAAGAAAUUCAUGAGUUUUGCCGUGUUUUUGAAGAUUUGAGCUUGAAUCCAAGUUUUGAAACCUUGAAGACCUCCGGAGACCGUUUCACCUCAUCUCCACGUUGGGGUUGCUGUCACCUUUAGAUCUCCAAAAGGUAAGCCUAGAUCCUUGCUUUUCUUAUGUUUUAAAUAAGUUUUAAGAAGAGGCAAAGGGUUAAAAAUGUAUGAAAUGGUUAGAUCUAAAGUUCUAGGGUUAUGUUAGCUUUGAUGAUGAAUGUUUGCUCUUAUGUGUUUUUAUUGUUGCUUGUUGGGAAAUAGACUAGUUUCUAAGUCCCUUAUGCAUGUUUGAGGGCGUAUGCAUGUUUUGAGGAGUUGGGUGUGAGGAUUUGAGAGUUUUGGUGGCUGUAUGCAUAUGGCAGAAUCGGAUUCUGCCUUGUUGGAGAACUCAGGUUCGGCUGCCGAACCUGCUUGUGGAGGCAGCCUUUUGGCUGCCUAACCUACCCCCGAAAGCAUGACUUUCAGAUCUGUGAAGGGGUUUCGGCCGCCAAACCUGCCCUUGAAAGUCCCUAACUUUCGGAUCUGUGAGGGACCUUCGGCCGCCGAACUUGCCGUCGAAAGUCCCCUGCCCAGCCUUCCUUUACUUGAUUCCUAUGCAUGUUUUGGUAUGUUUUAGGGGGUUUUUGGAGAGUUGUUUAGAGUAUUAUAAUAGCUAUGUUUGGUCCCUCAUUAGAGUCCAUCUGUGUAGGAUCAGACCUGGGAGACCGUAGAGGCCAGCAGUGAGUCAGCUGCUACAGUGUUAGGCAAGCGUCAGCCAGAGGUGAGUAGAACUGAACUAUUUUUUCAAAGUAACUAAAAUUUUAAGCAUGUUCAUGCAUCACGAAUGCCAUGUUUAUGUAUUAGGAUGUUACAUUAGAAUUCACGAAUAUGAUGCAUUGUAUAAUUUACUGUUGAUGUGGAUGGAUAUUGGAUGACCCACUAGCCCUCGAGAUGUUAUGAUAUGAUAUGAUAUGAUAUGAUACGGAAAGAUACAAAAGGACCAGGGCUGCCCAUUCUAUGCCCCUGGCACGAUGUAAGAGAAAGACCAGGGCUGCCCAUUCUACACCUCUGGCAUGAUGGAUAUGCUAUGUUAUGUUUAAGCAAAAGUCCUGAGGAGCUCCGUCGAGGGCCGGGCACAUUGGAUUAUGUAGAGGUUUACUGGUGACAAGUCCAUCUUGAUGUGAAUUGUUUGUGUUGUGACGCAUUUCAUACGAGCAUUUGUUUAUUAAACUGUUUUUAUGUUAUGCUCACUAGGCUCUUGUAGCUUAUCCCUUUUCCCUAACCUCAGGUUUGUAGGGUUUGAAGAUAGCUCGGGAAGCCGGCGUAGUAGCUGGUAUAGUUUAAUGUAAUAGAAUAGUGGUGGACAUGUAUUGUUUAAUGGAUUAGAAUUGUGCUUCGCCCUAGUUUUUAUAUUUGUAAUCCCUGUUAACAUGAUCUUUAUGUAAAAGUUUUAAUUAUGAGUUAUGUUUAAAUCAAGCUUGAGGCAUGUGAUGUUAACCAUACUAGAGCAUUUGAUGAGGGCUCUAGUAUGAGUUUUAUGUUAUCAGUAUGAUGCAUAUACAGGUUGAGCUUGGUUUCAUGUAAAUGUUUAAGUUUUUGUUAUAAUGUUUGAUCAUGUAUGGGAUUCUAUCAGGUACAUAGGAUGUAUAGUAGGCUUGUUACGGGUUCCGACGACCUUAAGUCGAUCUAAAACACAAACUAAAAACUGUUCCAAUGGUCAAAAGACUAUGAACAGAGCUAGUAGCCACUUGGACAGGUGACCAACUGAGUAACUGGGGGUGGGUAUCACAAAUAUGUACCUCAAUGUCAAAAGGUUGAUGACUUUUUCAAGCAAGAAUAAAGUGCAAAAAGCUGAAUAAAGUGCUUCAAGUAAGGGCAAAUCACUCCGAGAGCUAGGAAAAGUCUUAACUAAACAAGAAUAUGUGCAUGUAUAAUCUCUCUCUUAAGGAAAACCAAUACUAGCUAUGGUAGUUAAGAUCUCUAUAGAGUUGAGGAUAUUCAAUGAUCAACUCAUCAAGGUUACCUACAAGAUCAUCAUCACAAACCAUCUCCUUUGUAGGAGCAAAAAGAUUAUAUUCAUAAAAAAUAUGCAUUGACUCAUCAACUAUCAAGGUUUUCUUAUUGAAUAUUCUAUAUGAUUUACUAGAUGUAUAAUAUCCUAAGAAGAUAACUUCAUUGGUUUUAUAGUCAAAUUUACUCAAAUUAUCCUUAUUGUUUAAGAUAAAAUAUUUACAACUAAAAACUCUAAAAUAACUAACUCUAGGCUUUCUUCCAUUCCAAAGCUCAUAAGGUAUUUUAUUUAAAAGAGGUCUAAUUAAAGCUCGAUUUGAAACAUAAUAAGUCAUAUCAAUAGCUUCUGUCCAAAAAUAGGUAAGUAGAUUAUAUCAUCUUUACAUAGCCCUCUUCAUAUAUAAAUGAGUCCUAUUUUUUCUUUUAACAAUAUUAUUAUUUUAGGGAGUCAUAUGAGAUGAAAAAUUAUGAAUGAUUCUCAACUUAUUACAAAAAAAACUUUAAACUUCUCAUUUUCAAAUUCUUUACCAUGAUCACUCCUUAUUGAAGAGAUUUGAGAAUUUUUUUUUCAUUUUGAACUUUCUUUGUAAAACUUUUAAAAGUAUCAAAACAAUCAUCCUUACGAGUAAGGAACACAACUCAAGUAUACCUAAAGUAGUAAUCUACUAUGACAAAAUCAAAAUGCAUGCCACCAAGACUAGCUAUUCUAGUUGGACCAAACAAAUCCACAUGCAAAGUUAUAGAAGUGUAGAAGUGGUUACAUUGUUAAUAGAUUUAAAAGAGCAUUUAACUUGCUUACCCAUUUGACAAGUAUCACACACUUUAUUCUUUUCAAAUUUGAUCUUUGAAAGGCUAUCAACUAGCUCAUCCUUACUCAAAUUCUUAAGAAGAUCCAUGCUAGCAUUAGAAAGCCUUCUAUGUGAAAUCCAAUAAUUAUCAAUAAUAGAAACAAAACACUUUAUAUCUUUGUUAGACAACUUGUAAAUCAAUAACAUAAAUAUUAUCAACUCUUUGACUAAUAAACAAAAUUUUGUUAUCUGACAUUAUAAAGACAAUGCAUGAUUUUGGUUAAAAGAUUACUCUAGAACCUUUAUCAUAUAAUUGACUUGCAAUUAAUAAAUUAUGCUUUAAACCAUCAACUAAAAGAACUUUAUCAAGAAUAGGAGAAUUUUCCUUAUCAAUCUUGCCUAUUCCCAUAAUUCUACCUUUACUAUUAUCUCUAAAGGUUAAUUAUCCACUACCAUCCUUCUUUUCAAGAGAGAUGAAGUGACUAGAAUUUUUGGUCAUGUGCCUUGAAUAUCCACUAUCCAAAUACCAUUUGAUUUCAAGAUUUGAGGAUUUCAAGCACACCUACAAAAAGAGAUUCCAAACAACUUUUGGCACCCAAAUGUACUUGGGUCCUUGGGGUUAGUCAUUUCAUUUUUCAAUUUCUAAAUACUUCCAUAUCCAAAAUAGACUUUUCUAAUAAUACACCUAUAGUUGGUGUGACCAAACUUGCUACAAUAGUGAGAAUGACCAUUGAACCUUCUUAUUCUAAGUCCAUAGGUGAAUGAGUGUGCUUGUGUUCUCAUAUAGUCAUUUCUCCUUUAUCCAUUAUGAGCAUAUGAGCAAGAGGUAUGGUUAAUGUGAUAAUUAUGUGAACUAGAAAUAUGUGCUCUAUAAUGAUCAUUUCUUUUAUACGUAAAUUGGUCAUGAGUAUGAGAAUAUUGUGUCUAGUGGAUUGGUGUACUUGCACAUUCUUUCUAGGUGCAUUACCACUAGGAGCUUUAGAUUCAUGUCCAUUAGAGCUAAACACCUUAGGUUCAUUCAAGUUAGUAGCUUUAACAAAAAAUAGUUUUGGAAGGAUUUACUUGAGCUGAUUUAUCAUAGCCAAGACCAUAUUUAAUGCUAGGAAACCUUUGAGAGUCUAAUAUUUCAUUAGGUUUGUCUUUAUCUUUUAAAAAUUUUGAAAGAAAAUUUUUCAAUUCAAUGAUUUCAUCUUUUAAAUUUUUAUUUUCUAGUGAGAACUCAUUUAAGGAUUUUUAUAAGUCAUCAUUUGAGGGUGGAGAUUCUUUAGGUGAGAUCCUUUUUUAAGUUAACUAAUUCAUUUUUCAAAACUUUGUUUUUCUUACAACUCUUUUCUAGUUCAUCAUUUAUCAUUUUUAAAGUAUUAACAAGUUUAUCAUAUGAAAAUUCAACAACAUCAUCACUUAUAGUAAUAUCAUCAAGUGUAAUUACCUCAUCAUAGGUUUCCUUUAAGACCAUGAAGCAAAUGUUGGCAACUUCAUCACCAACAUCCUCCUAUUGUAUAUCACUUGCACUGCAAAAAAAAAAAAAACAUUGAAAUAUCGACCAAAAUUUUGAUCACUAAUUGAGAGAAAUUGAUCGUUAUUUGAAAAUAACAACCAUUUAGCGAUCAAAAUAAAUGAUUGGUGUUUGGCCAGUCACUAAAUAAAUAGCAACCAACUUGUAUUUAGUCGCUAAUUUAGCGACCAAACGGUGACCAAAGCUUGGUCGCUAAUCAAGUGUCAAAUGAUUUCGCCAUUAGAAAUUGUUGUUGCUAAUAUAAUCGCAAUUUGAUCACUACAAGGUGGUUAGUAAUUGGUCACUAUUUGGUCACAAAUUGGUAGGUAAUUUAGUCGUUAUUUGGUCACUAUAUAAAAAGUAAACAACUCUAUUAAUAAGGUUGUGUAGUUAUUGAAUGGUCGCUAAUUAAAGUGAACAUUGAAUGGUCAUCAUUUGAAUCACUAAUUAGUAAUUAAAUCGAAGUAAAUAUUUUUUAUUUGGGUCGUCUUUUACAAUUUAGUCGCUGACUGUGGUAAUUGAUCGCUGAUUGGUCAUGAGAAUAUGUUUUGAAACUAAGUUAUCUCUUUUUUUCUGAAUAUAUUUAUAAAUCUAUUGUAAUAAUAAUAUGUACAUAUAUAUUUUAAUUCAUAAUUCUGCCAUCUAAAAUAUUAAAAAUACCAAUAUAGAAACACUAAAAAGCAUAAAUAUUUAAAAUAUAUAAUAAAUUCAAAUAAUAUCGAUAAAUUUAAGUAUUUAAAAAGUAUUAUAAAUAUAGUACAGUUUAAUAAUAAAUUUAUAAUAUAGAAUAUAUGAAGUUAGUUAAAAUGGGAUCUCAUUCUAUUCCAUAUGAAAUAAAAACAUGUCUAACUCAUAAACUCGACUUCAGAUAAUUUUUAUGAAAAACCAUAAAUUAAUAGUUAAUUAUGCACAGUUUUUUUUAUUUAUUCAAUUCCAUGAAUUAACUUAAUUAAAAUAAUAUAUUUCCUAUAUGUGAUGCAGAUCACUAACUUUAAUAAAAAUCAUCCAUCAGAUUUGUAAAGAAAUUACAAAUUAUUCUCAGCAGCUUUAGGGCUUCCAUGUUUCUUUGUGGUAGCUAAUAAAAUAAAAUACAGAAAAAAAAAAAUAUUGUUAUUCCAUUCAAACUUUCAAUUCAAUUUAAAAAAUUAAAAUGGAAAAUUUAAUUGCUAAAAACUAACUUUUAACUAUUUAAUGAAAUGAGAUUCAUACACCGUACAUAAAAAAGAAAAAUAACAAAAAAGUGAAAUAAACUAAAAUUUAAUUCCUAAUCACCAAACUUUAUUGCUGCCCCUAUAGAUGAACUCUCAAUAAUAGAUGGUAAAUAGCCCGUUGCGUCUUUGUAAUUCUGCUGAAUCUGGAUACUCAAACCACAAUUAUGUCAAUCAAGUCCCUAUACUAACAAGUGUAAAUGAAUUUUUUAAAUACCUAAUAGUAAUAAACUAAGAAAAGAAGAAUAAUCAAGUUCAUAAAGCUAUCUUGGAGAAGUAAAAAUUAAUGUUACUGCUUGAACUGGUAUUGAGAAAAUAUUAUCUAGAAAAUGUGUAUAAUAAACACUUCUAAAUUGCUAAAUUCUCCAUGCUCUUGGUUAAAAGAGAGCAUAUUUCUCUCAAACCAGAAAUAUAACAAAAUUGAUUAAUAAAAAUUGGCAAUGAAAUGAGAUAAAUUCAAUAAAUACUUGAUUUGAAACGAAAGAUACUUAUUUUGAAGGACCCCUCCAAGACAAAAUAUGAGUAUAAGAAUUUUUUUUCUUAAUCAAAGUAAUUUCAAAGUAGAGUAUAAUCUCAUAAGGUCAGCCUAUUUGUCGCUCCAGAAUUUAUCAACGGCGGUGCGUGCAUAUAAAUACAUGUGCAGGAUUUGAAAUCUGCAAAUUACAGUUUAUAUUGUGUCUAAUCAUAGUAAUUAUUAAUUAAUGAAUUUAGUCAUAAAAUAAAAGAUAAACAUGGAUAAAGUUAACUUCCAAUAAGGCCAAAACUAAACAACAAAAUAGAUUGAUUUCAUUAGGCAGACAGUUUAAAGUACCAUUCCUUCUAUCAUUUGCACAGAGUGUCCACCACAUAAAUAGUGUUCAUGUCUAGAGAACAUGAAUGCCUUAGAGAAUAGUGAACAGUCAAACCUUAAAAAGAAAAGAAAAAUAAAUUUACUUCUGUACAUACAUGGCAGCUAGGAAAAUGGGAAAGAUUGACAAUUAACAAUGGAAGUCCUUCAAUCUUAGGUGGAAGUCUAUUUUCAUUCCAUUUUUUAUCUUUCUUUUUCAAUCUUCCUCUUAAAAAGCUUACUCUUCUUCAUUAGUUCAUCCAAAGAUCUAGUCAAGGCUUCUCAAACAAUGAUUCUUCAAUCAAUUCCCCCAUCUGUAGAUGUAAUACCUUCUAUGAUUAUUUGUUACUUUUUGGUCCACUUUAUCUUUUUUAUAUAUAUAUAUAUAUACUUUUACUAGUAGAUGAGCCAUUACUGAUACAUACAAGGGUUUGUAUUUACAAUGUAGGAUUAAAAUUGUUAAAAAUAAAGCUUAUAAGUCCCUUUAGAUGUAUUCAUUACAUUUCCCUCCCAUUCUGUAAGCAAUUCUCGCUAGAAAGGAAUGGUGUUGAUAAGCAAUAGUUAGAGGUGCAUAUAUAUAUUUCACUAUAUGUCAUGUCCUGAUUACUAGCUAUCAAUUAUUUGCAGCAAUAGUCAUUACUACGAACAACAAUAGUCAUUACUACAUAAAAUUUAUUUAUGAAUUGACUAUUCCCUGUUGACUAUUAGCCAAUAGCCAUCAAUUACUAGCUAUCAAUUAUUUGCAGCAAGUCAUUACUACGGACAACAAACUAAAUGAGGCCUAAAUAAAAAGUUUGGUCCAAGGACAUAUGUAUCAACAUAAACAUUAUGAUUUUCUUAGUUAUCAUACAUCUGGAACUAUAUAAAUUUAUUGAUUCUUAAUAACUGACAUGUAUUAGGCCCUAAUAGUCUAAUAUUCAGUAAAGCAGUAUCAAUCUAGAUGCCAUUGAAACAUAGAUUAUUGGAGCUGAUUUGCAAAGGUAGUGAAAUUCUUCCAAUGGGAAAGCAAGAGAAUAACAAUUUGCCGAAAGGAUUUCGGCACUUACAAAUGAAGGAAGAACUUUAAAAGCAAGAAUUACCAGCAUACUUGGAGCACUCGAAAUUUUUCAAGAAAUAAAUUUUUUAUUUAAAGAAGUAGAGCCUAAGCUCAAAACAAGCAUAAUAAUUUAACAAUAUUAAAUAGUCAGAAAACCCAGCAUUAAAAAAACAGAUGACUCCUAAAUGGAGUCUCAAACCAGGUGUAAACGUCAUUGGGUUCUCCUUCUGUAUCUCCUAUUUAAUUUUUCUAGAGCUCGACCAGAAUUAAAUACAAAGAGAAUCAUGAGCAAUACUGGAACCUAAACUUGAGAUAAAUACAGAAAAAUCUAAGGACAUAUAUAGAGAAAUCAUAUGUUUCUAGCAUACACAUAAAAAUGAAAAAAAUAAAGAAAAUAAAAGAAACCAAAACGACAACAUACCUACUACGACAAUGAAAAUCAAGAGAAGAAGAGCAAGAAUUGAGAGAAAAGAGGAUAUGGAGAGAACCAGCAGCAAUGAAUUUGUUGAGAAUAAUGACACAACACAACGAGAACCAGCAAUGAACCAGCAGAGACUGACAACACAUCUUGAUGGUAGCGAACUAGCAACGAUGUACUUGCUUUUUCUCAGGCGAAGGCGAUAGAAAAUCAAAACAACGGGAGAAAGGAAGGCUAGAGAUGGAGUAUGAAAGAAAAGAAUGAGAGAGGACUUAGCUUAGGUUAGGGUAUCCCUUAAAUUAUCAAAAUGAUGUCAUUUUAUAGGUCGGUUCAAUUUGAUUCAAUUUGACACUAAAAUUCAACUGAAAUAAAAUCACUUAAUUUAAAUUUUUAAAUAAAAUAAAAUUUAAUUAAAAGUUAAAUUAAAAAUCUAAAAAUAAAAUAUUAGUCGCAAGUGAUUGGUCGCAAGUGAUUGAUCACUAAUAUCAAUGUAAUUUUGUAAAAGUGGUCGCUAAUUAUGAUGGCAUCCUCCCAUCACAAAUACAUAAUAAAAUCAUCACUAAUUUAGUUAUAGACAUUUCGCGACAUUUAUUCCCACCAAAUUAUGAGUACUAUUUAUUUAAUCACUAUUUAGCGACCAACCAACGACGAAAUUUUAGUCGCUAAUAGUUUUGUUAAAUAAAACUACCCUCUUACUCAGAACAUAAUAAAAUAGUCAUUGGUUAGUCGCUAAUAGCAACUAGACUAAUUGGUCGUUUAUUUCACUGUUUUUUAUAGUAUUGACUCAUCUCACAUUACUUUGAAUGCCUUCUUGAACUUUUUGAUAGUUUCUUCAACUUGGGACAAUUUAUUUUGUAGUGAUCUAGUUUAUUGUACUAAUAGCAUAUAACCACUUCAUUCUUGAUUGAUUUACCUUGUAUCUUGCUCGAGUGUUUAGCAUCCUUUAAGGAGAUCACCUUAGGCAGCUAUUCCUUAGUUAAACAUCUAAGAAUUUUCUUCACUAAUUUCUCAUUUGUGAAUGUUUUCCCAAGAGAUUUUAUCCCUCCAAUAAUCUCAAUGAACCUAUUAUAUAUUUGACUAAUAGUUUCAUUGGAUUUUAUUUUGAACAUCUCAUAUUAGUAGAUAAGGGAUUCCAUCUUGUUUUCUUUAACUUGGUUGGUACUUUCAUGAGUGACAACUAAAGUAUCGCAAAUCUCCUUGGCAGUUGACUUCAUGCAUAUUUUAUUGUACUCACUUGUACUAAUAGCACAAAAUAAAAUGUGAAUGACUUUGUCACUAAGAGCUACUUUUCUCUUCUCUUAUUUACUCCAUUCACUCUUAGGUUUUUGCUCUUGUUUUCUCUCUAUCAUUUUUGUUGGAAAGAAAGGAUCAUUCUCCAUAAUAUUCCACAAAUUAACUCUUUUCGAUUUGAGAAAAUAAUAUAUUCUAUUUUUCCAAUAUAGAAAGUCAUUCCCAUCAAAAAAUGGUAGUCUCACAACCGAUUGGCCUUCUUUAGUAUGGAGGGUUGCCAUUAAUCUUUACUCCAAGAUUAUUAAAUCUUCUAGAAGAGGAUAUUAGCUCUGAUACCAUUUGGUAUCCCUUGAAGCAACCAAGAAAAAGGGUAAAUUGGAUUUAUAAAAAUUUCAAAGGCUAAUGACACAAAUUAAGAGAGUAGUAAAAAAAAGGAAGAGUGACAGUGAACACAAGGAUUUAUAGAGGUUCAGCUAUUUCAAGCCUACGUCCUCUCCUUAAAACCCUUCUUGAGAGUUCAACUCCACUAUCAAAUUUUCUUUGAGUGAAAAUUAAAACCCCUUACAAUUCUAGACUAAAACCCUUACUCUUUAUAAUUUCUUUUUUUUUUACAAGAGUAAACAUAUGCUCAAUACCACACUCAAUAUAAUAAAUUCACUUAACAAUCUUCACUCAAUCUCAAAACAUAAACUACUUAUAACUCAAAACUAGAUUUUAAGAAAUUAAAGUUAUGGCUUAAAGUUUUAGAGAGAGAAAGAGUAUAGAAAACUUGAAUCUCAAUAAAUGAGUACUUAAAUAGUUAUUGUAAUUUUUUUCAAUGAAAAAUAUAUUAUAUUUAUAGUUGUAACAUAAAUAUAACUGUUGAAAAUUCAUUAAAUGUAAAUAGAGUCGUUUAUAUAUUGAAAUAGUCGUUAUUUUUUGCUCAGAAAAAUUCAGGUUCGGCGGCUAAAAGUUAAAGUUCAGGGGUCAAAAUCUUUGGAAGUGAAAACAAAACCCUUUGAAAAAGACUUUUAGCAGCCUAAAAUCCUUACUUUUUCGGCGGCUAAAAAUUUCAACUUUUGCCUUUAUUUCUCUUUUACUUUGCCGCUAAAGUCCACUUUAUGGAGGCACAAAAUUCAUUCAUUAAAUCUUUGAAAAAAAUAUAACUAGGACUAUAAAAUUCUGAUUUUUCAAUCUAUUUGAAUUCUUAUAAUAUUUUAAGAUCUUUUAAUUUGUUGAAAAAUAAUUUCAAAACCACUUCAUUUGUAAAAUUUUAUUUUGGUCUCUCAAAAAGUUAUGGAGCGAAAAGUUAAGUUAUAAACUCUCAAUUUUAAUUUUGUUUAAAUUGUCAUAACUUAUAAUUUGAAAUCUCUUAUUUGAUAGAAAAGUAUCUUAAAAAAAAUUCAUAUGUUAAAUUUCAUUUAGGUUCCAAAAAUAAAUUCUUAAAAAAUUGACCGUAUUUAUACUAUUUAGAAUUUAAAAUAUAAACUUGAACCAACACAGUUGAUUAAUUGAAAUUUACAAUGCAUAAACUAAAAAUUAUAUUUUUGUCUAUUUUCUUAUAACAUGCUUCCAAUUUUAGCACUUUUCAUCCUUUAAAUUGAAGCAAUUCUAUUUAUUUAAAUUAAAGGCCUACAAACUCACAUAAACAUUUCUAAAAUUAAUUAAUAGCAUACCAAUUAACAUUAAGACAAGGAUUAGAAUACCUGGAUCUAACAUUCCCUUUCUUCAAUUUCUCUCUUCCAAAAUCAUCAUAACUUGAGUUCUAAAUAUCUAAAUGAGUUGAUCUUUAUGUCUUUAGAAAAUUACGACACAGAGAAACAACUUUAAUGAAGAAAGUAUGAGCUAAAUGUGUCUGAAACCUUGCUAGAUCUUGCCUAACAGAAUUGGUAAAAAAUUUUGCCUAUAGGAGAAAGUGCAAAAUUGACUUAUUGAACAUAUUUAGUUGCUAUGAUUUUGUGCAUAUCCUAUCUUUAUAUGCAGUAUGAACCAUAUUCUUAUUGUUUAAAGCUACAAAUAUAUUAUUUAUAAUGCUAAACUUUCAACAAAAGUCUAAUAUUGAUUAUAUUAUGUGUUUGUAAUGAUUGGUAUAUGACUAUUAUUGGUUGUCAUUUCAAAUACAUAUACAAGUGGCAAAAUAGAUUUUUAAUAUGAAAAUUUGUAGAAAAAAUAAAUUGAUAUGCAAUUAUGGAUGGAAAUGCAAAGUAUUGAACAUGUAAUUGUGGUCAUUUAAGCUAAUGUUAUAAAUAAAUGUUAUCGAUCUUAGUGAGUUUGAUAGAAAUCAAGAGUUAGUAUAAGGAUAUAGUAUACCAUAUAUGUUAAUAGUAUUGUACUAUAAUUUAUAUGAUUAUAGGGUCACAUUGAAGUGCCCUCCAGUAUGACAAUGAUGCUUAUCACUACAGUUACAGAGAUUGACCUUCAGGCUCUAUAGUUUGCACUUUCUACAUGAAGAUCCAA
rnacentral:lncRNA from 1 species